rnacentral:lncRNA from 1 species
UUUAGAGUUUAUCCAAAGUUUAAGGUUUAGGCUUUAGGGUUUAAGAUUUAGGGUAUAUGGUUUAGUAUUUUGCUGAAGACUUAAAAAUAUUUAUUUAUUUAUUUUUUGUAACUAUUUUUAUGUAUUUUUAUUGUUUUAUUUUAAAAAGAUAAUCUUAUUUGGAAAUUCAAUGUUGUUUCCUUUUUUAAAAGAUAUCAAAUAUCAAAUACUCAAACACUAUUGGUUGGUGAACCUAGAGGUUCACCCUAGGGGGUGAACCCAAGAAUUACUCUUAUGGAAUGGGCCAUUUUAUCCUUGAUUCUGUGUAUGAUGAUGUAUCGAGUGAUAUUACACUAAUGGUGACUGAUUACUAAAUGUUCUUCGGACACAUUAAAUAAGUGUAAAUGUGUAAUUAAGCAAAAAAGUAGUUUUAUUUUUUAACCUUGUUGGAUUGAUGUGGUAAUAAGAAUUAUUUGGGUCGACCGUCAAUAUAAUACUCCCUCCGUUUUUUAAUAUAAAUCGUUGUAGAGAAAUUUUUUUGUUCCAAACUAUAUGUCGUUUUCGGUUUUCUAUGUAAAAUUUAUUAGUAAUUAAUGUUGUAUGACCAAUGGUAAUAUAUCUUUUAUUUUUCUAUUGGUUCAAUUGUGGUUAAGUAAAUAAUUAAUGAUGUUUUUGUUUAGAAAAUAUAAGAAAUUAAUGGUUUUCUUAAUUUACGUGUAUAGCUGUAAAACGACUUAUAUAAAAAAACGGAGGGAGUAUAUUUUUUUUUUGAUAAAAACCGUCAAUAUAACUGCCUUCAACUCUAUUCUAAUCAUUUGAAACCAUUUUUUCUUUUGAAACCAUUUUUUCUUUUUCAUAACUUCUUUAUAUUAACAGUACUAGUGUUAAUGAUGUGUGCAUGCCAUAAACUUGAAAACACGCACAUAUGUGUGUAUAUAUAUCACUUUCAUGCAUCACAUCCAAACCUUGCAACUAUUAGAAAUUGACGUAGCUUAUGGUGAAAAGUGAUUUUAACAACAAUGAAAAGAGAUAGGAUGUUACUACCAAUACCAUCCUACAAGAAACGUAGAUGUUAGUUAAAGUUCUGAGAAAUCUAUUGAAACAAUUGCAAAUUAAUGUAGUGCGUUAAAAUGAUAUAGAUUUCUCGAAUUUUCACAAACCUUAAUUAAAGUUCUGAGAAAUCGUUUUAGUAUUGGUAGUAGAGUCUCACUACCAGUCAACCAAUAUCACAUGACAAACGUAGAUGCGUCAAAAGAUUUCUUGAAUUUUCACAAACGUUAGUUAAAGUUCUAAAAAAUCGUUUUCUGUAAGAAAAAAGGUUUGUGAUUCUAGUUUUCCGUAGCUUUAUUUUUUCGGGCAAGGCUGUUCAAGGUCUGAUGAUUUACGUGCAUUUCUUCAAAAUAAACGACAAACAUAAAAUCAAAUUUCUUGUUUGAUAAAUAACUUUUCCACUCUAUUUGUACAAUUAAAUUCUCUCAGUUUUAGGAUUAUGUAAGGUUAUCAGCGAUAUUUCUGAAUUAUAUCAACUUAAAUGUUUGACUGUUUUGUAAUAUCAAUGGUUAUAUAUUAGGAAAAAAAUAAGAGCAUCUCCGAAAAAGAAUUCUAUUUUGAAGUUUUCAAAACUCUAUAUUUGAAGUUUAAAGGUAUUCUUCUUCAAAAACAAAACUUCAAACUCAACUUCAAAACUAUUUUCAUUUUAUAAUAUGGUAUUUAUAUUUGUCAUAGCUAAUUUGAAUUCAUAAAACUUUUGUAAAUAGCUAGCACAUAUAUAAACAUAUUACAACAAUAUUAAUUAAUAAAAUAUUAUAUUAAAAUUUAAAUUUUUAAGCAAAAUAACUUAAUUAAUAUUAAACUUCAAUAAAAAAAUCAUAUUAUUCCAUAAAGUGAUUUUCGUAAUGCAUAUAUGAUCUACUAGUGCAUUUCGAAGUAAAAAAUGGCUCUCCUCAUUUUUAAUUUGUAGAUUAUUGAUACAAAUUAUUAAAAUCGGGUGAUAUUAAUACUUGUAAAUACAUUAGAUCAAAACAAAAAAGUAAAAGAGAAACAUAAAAUAUUGCUAAAAAACUAACUUUUAUCGACGAUAUUAAUAUUCGUGAAUAUAUUCAAUAUGAAAAAGAAAUAAUUGUACGAAAAGACAUCAUCAACAACAAAAACCAUCUUCAGUUACACAAAAAAAUUGGACAAUAUUUGGAAAUUUUGAAGGUUCCGGAUCAAACUUACAUGACUAUUAGUUUUGUUGUAAUAUUUUAAUUUGUGUAAUAGUUAUGUCUUCAUGUAAUUUUUUAAAAGUUUUUUGGUUAAGUUUUUUUGUAUAUUUUUUUAUCUAAAUCUAGUUUUAAAUAUUUUAAAUCUUAUUUUAAAGUUUUAUAUAAUUUUAUGUGUAAACUUUAAUUUUUUAAACAAAACCUAAAAUAUUUAUAGGAUAUAACUUUUUUAAAUAUUAAAACAAUAAACAAGAAAAUGUUUAUGAAUCAUAAAUGUGAUGUGUAAUUGUAAGGACCAAAAUGCAAAUAAAAAUAUGAAACUUUAAAUUUGAAGUUUUGAAUAGAAAAACUUUAAAUAUAGAAUUUUACUAUUCAAAACUCCAAAUUUGAAGUUUUGAAAUUCCUUUUUGGAGAGCAAAACACUUCAUAUUUGAAUUUAUAGAGUGUUUUUUUGAGAUACUCUUAGUCUCCUCUUUGGGAUAUAGGUUUCGACCUAGCUAUAUUCCCUGCUUACAAAACCAAAGAGAAUAAACAAAAUAAAAGAUGAUAAAGCUGUUGUGAACUAUUAGCUCAAGAUAUAAAUGAUUAUGUAUAUACUUGUAUUUAUGGAGAAAAUAGAAUAAUAAUAAAGGAGAGAGUGAGAGUUGGUCGUGUGAUUGUGAUGAGUAAAGAAGAAAGUAAUCUUUUUAUUAUUGUUGUAUCUUUUUCAUUUUCUACGAAUAAGAACUUAACUCAGCUAUUUAUAGUGCAACAAAAUUACAUAGUCAUCAUCUCUUUAAUAGAGAACAAGAAACGUAGAGAAGACUAAGAUGAUGUUAUAACAGGACAUGUGUCCAAGUUGAAUAAUCAUUCUCUUUUGAUAUUUAUCUUCUAACACUCUCCCUUGAUUAUUCAUUUUAUAUUACGUAGUGCCUUGUUAAAAACCUAAUCAUGGAAAAAUUCAUUGGGACAAAAACCAUGACAAGGGAAAAAGAGUACAUUACCGUAAUCUCUCCCUGGAAUAAUGGACAUAGCUUUUCUUCAUAGGUCACGCAAAUAUCGCAUUCCGAUACCGUAGAUGUGUUUUCGGAAUGUUGUAGUCGGAAGAGCUUUGGUGAACAAGUCAGCCGGAUUUUUGCAUGACCGUACAUAUUAAAUGUCCACUUCUUUAUUUUUCUCGAGCUCCCUUAUGCACGAGAAAAAUCUUGGAGGGAUGUCUUUGUUCUGUCGCUCUUCAUGUAGCCUUCCUUGAGCUGAGCAACACAAGCCGAAUUAUCUUCAAAUAUUUUCGUCGGCUCUUUCUCGUUGACUAUUCCGCUUGAUUCUUGUAUGUGGUGACUCACUGACCGAAGCCACACACAUUCUCGACAUGCUUCAUGAAGCGUAAUAGUUUCAGCAUGAUUCGAAGAUGUCGCAACCAGAGUUUGUUUCUGGGACCGCCAAGAGAUCGCGGUUCCACCAAUUGUAAAAACAUAGCCAGUUUGUGCUCGACUUUGUAAAUAUCAUGUAUCUGCAAAACCAUACCAAAAUCGGGGUUCCUAGGAUAAAUUAAUCCUAAAUCAAUACGUACCUUGGAGAGAACGGAUAUGUUAUCGACGCCGUUCUAAUUUUCAUAAAUAGAAAAUGAGCUAUAUCUCGCAAAGACAUUAAUGUCUAAAAGUAUAUUUAAUCAAACACAACUCGCAAGAUAUAUAAGCUCAUAUAUGCUUUAUUACCAUUAGCAUCUCCAAAAUACUUAUUUAUAUAAGAUUUUACCAGGAUCUUUUAAAACAUCUUUUUCAACAUUGAGAGAUCUAUUUACUAUUGGAGUACUCAAAGGAGUCGUUUUAUCCAUACGAAAGCGUUUCAAUAACCUUUUCGUAUAGUUUGAUUGAUGCAUAAAAUCCCUUCUCGGAGAUGCUCUAUCUGGAGCCCAAGACAAAACUUUGUCUUACCAAAAUCUUUCAUUUCGAACUCCUCUUUCAUAUGAGUUCGAGCAUCAUCAACCUACUUUUGAGUUCCAUUUAUGUCUUGUUAGCUACAUAUACAACAAUGAUCACAAAGCCAGAUGACAAUUUCUUUAUAAAAACGCAUAGACAUAUCGCAUUAUUCACAUAUCCUUUACUCAAAAGAUAUUCACUUAAGCGAUUGUACCACAUGCGUCCGGAUUGCUUUAAUCCGUAAAGUGAUCGCUGUAACUUGACCGAACAAAUCUCCCUGGAUUUUUUUUUCAAUGCCCCUGGCAUUUUCAAUCCCUAAGGGAGUUUCAUAUACAUAUCGUUAUCCUACGAUCCAUACAAAUAUGCAGUCACAACGUCCAUGAGAUGCAUUUCAAAAUUUUUAGACGCCGUUAGGCUCAUCAAAAAUCUAAACGUAAUUGCAUCCAUUACCGGGGAAUACGUUUCCUCAAAAUCAAUUCCCGGUCUCUGAGAAAAACUUUGGGCAACUAAUCAGGUUUUAUAUCAUGUUACUUUUCUCACGAAUACCCACUUAUACCCGACAAGAUUUGUAUUCUCAUGUGUUAUGACUAUAAGUCUAAAGACAUUCCUUUUAUUUUGGGAGAAUAAUUCAGUUUGAAUGGCCUUCUGCCACUCCUCCCAAUCAUGUCUUUUAAACAUUCCAAAAUGGAUCUUGGAUCGGGAUCAUCAUUUUCAUGAUCAAUAUCUUUGGACACAGAAAAGGAGAACAUUCCAUCAACAUCUUUCAUGUUAUUUCUGAUUCAUAACUUUUCAUCUCAAUCGUAGUUGAUGAAAAUCUCUUACUUUUCUGUUCCCUUCUCGUCAUCUGGAUCCCUAUCUUUAUUUGGUUUUUCUUGAACCUUUUCAUUUAUGUCUUCUUUCAGACAUUUUUCAGUAUCAUGUUCUUCUGGAACCUUUCCACUUAUGCUUUUUUUUUCCAGACAUAUUUCAAUAUCAGGUUCUUUUGAAACAUUUCCACUUAUGCCUUCUUUCAGACAUCUUAUAAUAUCAGGUUCUUCCGGAACCUUACAACUUUUCUCAACCAAUAUCUUUCGGGGAUUUUUAUCUCUAGAACCCGCUAGUCUCCCCCUCUAUAACUGAACCCAAGGUUCAUUCAUUUUGUUACCAUCAGUUUGUUCUUUAGGAACAUCAACUCUUGAUGGAACAUUUUCAGCGGGUAUAUCAUGUCGUAUCUGUGAACACAUUUGGUAACUGGUUUGCCAAAUUAUGCAAAUGCACAAUUUUCUGAACUUCCAGCUCUCUUUGAUUUGUAGGGGGACCAAAGUGUAACAACGAAUGUGUACACCAUGUAAUUUAUUUAGGAAUUUCUCAAAUUCCUCUCCCUAACGCUGGAAUUCAUUCUCAUUAAAAUGGCAAUCGGUAAAUCAUGGCGUAAACAUAUCACCAGUUACCGGUUUAAGAUACCUUAUACACAGCUUGUUCUAACUCUUCUAGAGUUUUAUACAUUCCCGAGAGCAUUUUUAACUCUCCAGGGACUUCUAAAUAUCAAGAUGCAACUCAAGUCGUUCUUGUCCUACCAGACAUAUCAAUAUAUUGCAUCUAUUUUAUAUUUUCUCCAGUGACCUUGGAACAAGACGCUUUUCAUACCUCAAGGUCAUCUUUCAUUUCAUUCUUUGGAGAAAUAUAUACCUUGGACUUUUGGUCCAAAAAUCUCUCGUUAUUCUAACGAGCUUUAUAUCGAAUUGAUGGCCAAUCAAUUCACUAUACCCUCAUACAUAGAGGUAGAUUCAUAAUCUUUACUUUUAUAGUGCUUUUUCAUUUAUUGUCGACGAUCUAUUUUUUCUUUGGUUCUAUUUUAUUACCCGUACUGAUAUGGUUAAUCGAGAUCUCUUUAUCAUCGAUGAUUUACUCAGGUACCUGACUAUUAUAUUAACCAUAUCAACGGUCUCAUCAUGAGAUUCAUCCACUAUUCAUAUAUUUGCUCCUUUUCGAGGAUUCUUUUGAACCAAAGUGGUCUAUCAAGUCUUUAGCAUGCCAUAGACUCAUAUAUCGUCCGUUUAGGACACUAUUUUCUUAUUGGAGCAUUUUCAGCUGGAAUAUGAGAUUUCAUUAUUUCAUCACAAUGUCUGGCAGGUAUUUUGGAAAUGGAUUAUCCUACUUUUCAUUGUAAUCCAUUUCACAUAUCUCAUUCCAUCAGCUUAUCAUAUGCUUCUAGCAAACUUGCGAGCAUAUUUGUAAUUAUUCAUAUACUUUAUCCCUCUGGAUUGUAUAUGUCUUUAUUACAUGCACAACUGCAUGUUUACAUCCGAUCAUGGGGAUCAUCUUACUUGAGUUUAAUUUAUCAAGUUCUUUUUCGAGUGCGAACAUAAUUUUUUCAAUGUUCCACUUACUAGGAUUCUUUAAUUCUCUCUCUAGAGAUGAUGACACUCCAUGUCUAAAAUCUCGUACUGAAUCCCACUCUAGAACCAAUAACAUAUUCAGUUUUCCCAUUUGGGAUGAAUUAUGUUUCAAAUCCUUUAGAGUGAGAUCUAAAUUUGGGGUCUGCUUAAAGAAAUCACAUAUUGUGAACUUGUUUGAUGAUUCAUCACCCAUGAUGGUUUCCUUUAUUUUCUUGACAUCCUAUAUGUGAAAAACUUCUAGUUUUUCAGCAUUUCACAAUAAUGUUGAACAUUAUUGGAGAUGACUAUAUAUCAGUAAACUUCAGGUUUACCAUUCAUUAAUAAUUUUGCCAUCUUUUUCUUAUGCAUGUCUUUUCAUCAUAAGUUCUGCUAAAGCCAAUAAUAUGUUUAUAUUACUAGAUACUAUACUUAUUUAGUUUGAGAGAGGAAAGAUAUUUGUUACCUUUAGUAGUCAUGUACGAUGACUCAAUAUCUGCUAUGUAUAUCUAUCUCCAUCUUGAAUCUUAAAAUCUCAUUCAGAAAGAUAAUUCUCAUAUCACAUCGAUAUUUUAUUUUUAUUUUCUGGACCAACCAGAAAAUCUGAAUCAUCAAGAUGAGUAUUGAAGCUAUGAAAGAUGGUUCGGGCUCAUAAGAGACGAAGUUUAAUAUACUUCCUUUCUAUUUCUCUUUUUGAUUUUCCGUAUAGAUCGGCUAAAUAUUUGGCGUACGACAACUACAUACCCAAUUUUCUUUUUUUGGCCGUAUCUAUAGCAAACUUUUUUUGUUUGCUUUUUAUCACCCGACCACUUUCAUUUUUCGUGAAAGUUCUAAUUAUUUCACAUGGACGAAAUCUUCUUCUUCGUCCUCUUCCACGACCACGAUAGCGGCUUCUACCGCAUCCAAAUCCUCGUCCUUUUCUAGUAGGACUGACUUGAUGGUUUAGUAUCAUGAUUUUAUUUUUUUCAGUUUUCACGGAGGAUUUAUAUCAACUCCAACCAUUUAGUGAAUCCUUUCUUUCAAAGAUUUAUUUAUCAAAGAUCUUUCAGGUAUUUUCUCAUGAUACACCUCAUCUUAUAAACCAUCAUUGAAUUUGUGUAAAUAUCAUGGCUUUAUCUUUUUCUCAUCCGAUAUAGUUUCAACUUAUCGAUGAUUUCUCAAAGCUUAUUUUCUCUCAGUUGCAUCUUUGCACCCACUGCCCAAGUCUUAUAAUUAUUUUCGUAAUAUUAAGGGUAUUUAGUUUGAGCUUUGUCAAAUUUGACAUGAUAACCAUAUUCAUGGAAUAAUAAUAUAUAAAGACGGAAAUUUAAAUGCAUAAAUUAAAAGCAUAAAAUAAAUGCAUAAAUUAAAUUGCCGAAAUUUAAAGAGCAUAAAUAAAAUCGGGAGGCUCAGCCUACCACAUGAUCCGAGGAGUCAUUGACUACCAUAUUGAUCAUUUUUAUCAAGGUUUGAGGAGACAUGGUUUACCAUAUUAAUCUUUUCUUUUUAUUCAAGGUCCAAGGAGACUUAGUCUACCAUUUUUGACUUUUUUUUAUUUACGGAGGCAAAGCCUUCCACGUGACCCUCCUUUUUUUUCAAGUCACGGAGGUAAAGCCUACCACGUGAUCAUCUGAUCGUAAAUGCACAGCCUACCAUAACGAUCAGUCGGAGAAAGCAACGCCUAUCAUCCCGAAAAAUAAACGGAGAAGGACUAGCCUCUCACUCCGGAAUAAUAAUAAUAAUAUUUAAAUAAAUUAAGUAUAUUAAAACACAUAAAUUACCUCGACUGGUUUAAAAACUUUCGGAUUGAUAAACCUCAGUUGGUCAAAACUUCGUGCUGAUAACGUGUUGUGAACUAUUAGCUCAGGAUAUAAAUGAUUAUGUAUAUACUUGUAUUUAUGGAGAAAAUAGAAUAAUAAUAAAGGAGAGAGUGAGAGUUGGUCUUGUAAUUGUGAUGAGUAAAGAAGAAAGUGUUCUUCUUAUUAUUGUUGUAUCUUUUUCAUCUUCUACGAACAACAACUUUACUCAGUUAUUUAUAGUACAACAAAAUUACAUAGUCAUCAUCCCUUUAAUAGAGAACAAGACACAUAGAGAUGACUAAGAUGAUGUUAUAACAGGACAGGUAUCCAAGUUGGAUAAUCAUCCUCUUUUGAUAUUUAUCUUCUAACAAAAGCCAAUUAUUUAUGCAGCCGUGGCAUUUUUGGGAAAUGGAUGCAGAUUUUUUUUUUUUUUGACAAAAGGCAAGGAUGCAGACCUUUUAUCACAAAAUAUCCUAAUAGUUUAUAAAUUUUGAUAGUCUAGAAAACAACAUAUUAGUAUGUUUCAAAUAAUGACUAGAAGCUAUAAUUUAUACUAUAUUUACUUUUUUUUGAACUGCUUUAUUUACUUUUGUAUACUAUGUUUUAUCGACAAAAUAGAUACUAUUAACAGACCAAAAAAUAUAUAUAUAUAUAUUGUACGAAUUGUACAUUGUUCAAGUAUGCACUUAUGGAUAUGAUUACCUCACUCGAAUAUUUGUACCGAUCUUCAAAUUUUAUCAAUCUAUUCAGUUUUUUAUUACAGAAAAAUAAUUGAUUCUGUCAACGCUUCGUUAUAUUAGGCAGUAUUCUUUCGUUGUGAUUAUACAAUAUUACAAUGCAAAUAUAAAAAGCUCAAUAAUCUAUUCAUUUAUACGGCACCAAUCGAUUUUUUUUUAUCAGUAAACCAACCCACUUGAUUUCACUAGCCUAAAUAUAUGGUUUAAUAAUCCGAAAAUGUUGAAAAAAUAUAUAAAGUUUGAAUAUUACCAUAUGAAAUCAAUAUAUAUUUCUUAGUAUUUUUUUCUAAGCAUUUUUCCAAUUUAAAAGUGUGAAUGUUGGUAUGUUCAGUAUGUUUCAUAUAGUUGAUCCUUCCAAAUACCUUGCCUGGUGUAUGUUGGCUAAACGCAGAAAACAAAUUACACAUAUGAAAUAAUACUUCAUCCCCACAACUAUACGUAUUUACGAACGUAAAUAUAUUUAGCACAUUAACAACUAAAAAUCACUACAAGAAAACACAACUAUAACAACGAAAAUUAAUGAGGAAAUUUAAUCUUCGUAAAUGUACGUUGACUUUACGAUUAUCUUACGAGAAAAUUUAAAAUCAACGUUAGUUCGUUGUAAAAUAACGACAAAACGAUUUCUUCGUAAAAACGACGUGUUCCUCAUAAAUUCGACGUAACAAUAGCGUCUAGUUUACGAGGAAAUAUUUUACGUUUACUUAACGACAAAAUUUCGAGUCCACCAACUUUGUAGUUGUAACACGUUUUUUGUUACGGCUACCUAACUAAAUUUCGUCGUAAAUUUCUAGUAAACUUUCAACUAUCAGAUUCGAAAAUUUCAUAUAAAUAUAGAUGUUUGAACAUCAUUUUAAACACAACAACAAGAAAAAAAAUAAAAACGUGAAAGAAAAAAAAAGUCGGACUCCGGGAAUAUUUUCGAGUUGCAGAGGUGGAUGUAUAUGCACAAAGAUGCUAACGGGAGAAUGACGAAAUAAUACCUCGAAGGACUGUAGACAUUUAUGCAUCAAGCAGAUUCCACACCGCUCGCCCAAGAAAGCAAUAAGAUGUUCUAUCUUUGUCGUAAAUGCAACAAUUCGAAAUUGGCAAAUCGUGAAAAUGUUUGAAAGCAUUUAAUAAAUAGAGGUUUCACGCCAAAUUACUAUAUCUAGUUUCAACAUGGAGAAUGUUAUAAUUAUGAGAAUGAAGCUAGUAGUAAUAGCAAUUUUCAGGAAGAACCGGUUGAUCAUCAUUUGCAUAAUGAACAUAGUUAUCAUCAGGAGGAGCAAAUGGUAGAUUAUGAUAGGAUUCAUGAUAUGGUAGCUGAUGCAUUCGUAGCUCAUGAUGAAGAUGAAGAACCUAACAUAGAUGCAAAAAAGUUUUAUGAAAUGUUAGAUGCAGUGAAUCAGCCACUUUACAGUGGUUGUAGAGAAGGUCUCUCUAAAUUGUCAUUGGCUGUUAAAAUGAUGAAUAUUAAAACUGAUCACUAUCUAUCUGAAAGUUGCAUGAAUGAAUGGGCAGACUUGUUUAAAGAGUAUUUGCCGGAAGACAAUGUGUCUGCUGAUUCUUAUUAUGAGAUUCAGAAAUUGGUUUAUAGUCUUGGGUUGCCUUCGAAGAUGAGAGACGUUUGCAUCGACAAUUGCAUCGACAAUUGCAUGAUCUACUGAAGAAUCAGGUAUUAACUCAAACUCUUAAUUUUUGCAGGUGGAUCGAUCAAACUCUUUUUUCAUACAUGAUCUGUAUUUCAACGUUCUCUUUAUUUUUGCAGGUUGAUUAUGACGACGAAGCAGAUUAUCCUACGUGGUUUCACGAAGUAAUUCAAGCUCCACUUGCAAAGGUUACCACAUCACAUAUAUAUUUCACACGAAGCUAUAUUUUUCACACAUAUGAGUGUGGUAGACAGCGGGCAACCAGUAACUAUAGAAUAUGUGUGAAAGGCGAAACAUAUUUCUACGGGAUCAUGCAGGAGAUUAUUGAAGUCGAAUUCCUAGGGUUAUUGAAGCUGAAAUGUGUCAUCUUCAAAUGUGAAUGGUUUGACCCCGUCGUCAACAGAGGUGUUCGGUUUAACAAAUUCGGUGUAGUUGAUGUCAAUGGUGGACGAAUGUACAUCAAAUUCUUUUUUUGGCAUACAUGAUCUGUAUGAUUAAUUUCUACGUUGUCGUUAUUUUUGCAGGUACAACAAAUUCGAGCCUUUCAUCUUAGCUUCACAAGCAGACAAAGUUAGCCUCAUUCCAUACCCUCGGAUGAGAGAAUCGAGAAUAAAUUAGUUAGCCGUGAUCAAAGUUACACCUCGUGGACGAAUCAUCAAUGGAGAAGAACCACCAUUGAAGGAAGAACAGAUAAAUAAAGUCGAGAAACCUGAAAAACAAACUUAUGACAUUCCUUCUCAUUGAUCCUCAUAAUCAUGAGUACGAAGAUCUUACCGACGAUACCACAGACGAAGCUGUUGAAGACGAGUUUAAUGAAUAUGAUGAUGUUUCUAGUGAUGACGAGAAUGUCGAUGUAUCCGACUGAUGUAUUUGUUUUUAAUAUGAUUGAUUUUCAGACUUAAUGCAUGUGAUUUGAUGGAUUUAAUAAUGAAAAUCAAUUUAUAUAAUUUAAUUUUGUGUAAAGGUAAUGGGCAGUUUGAAUUAGAAAGAAGAGAUUGAGACUAUAAGUUAAGGAACUGUUGUUUUAUAAUUUGGGGUUUGGAAUGGAAAGAAGAUAUUGAGGUUAAAGGGAAGAUGGGUUUGGGGUUUGGAAUAUAUAAAGUAGAAGAUAAGAAAGAUGGGGUUUGGUGUUUUGGAUUUUAGGGAUUUAAACAUAAUCCUCGUUACUUCUUCGUAAACUAACGAGGAACUUACGAAGAAUCUUAAAAAUAAAGAACGUGGGACUUGUUAAUUCUGUGUAAGUAGAAUUCGUCAUAAAGACCUCGUAGUUGGAAAAUGCGGACCUUUGUAUUUACUCGUAAAUAAGAACAUGGGCCUUGCUAUUUCCUCGUAAAUUAACGAGGACGUUACAAGGAAACAAAACGCGGGCCUUUCUAAUUCCUCGUAAAAAAACGCAGGCCUCGCGAGUUCCUCGUAACUUUACGAGGUAAUUACAAUGAUUACUAAUUUCUUAUAUAUACACGCGAGCUUCUCACUUCCAUUUCGUCUUCACUUCCUCUUUUUCUUUCGUAGCAAUGGUACGUACUCUCUCUAUUUCCUCUCUAAUUUGAUUACUUUAGGGUAGAUUAGGUGGUUAGUGUAGGGAAUUCAGAUAGGUUUACGGAUUUUAUGUUAAUUAGUGUUGAUUAGAUGGUUAAUGUAGGGAAUUUUGCUAGAUUUAUAGAAUUUUUUAAUUAUAAAAUUUGUUAAUAACUUUUGAUGUUAAUUUUAAAAAAUAAAAUUUCUUUCCAGACGGUUCGACAGAACAGACUUACUCCCCAUUACAGAGAGAUGUUCGGGGAGCCUGGUAAUCGUUUAGACCCGUCUUCUUCAGCUCCCGGUCCUUCUUCAGCUCCCGGUUCUUCGCGUCCGGAGACUGUCCCCGAGACUCAAUCUUCUCAGAGAGUCUCUCGGUUGCCUUUUUCUGGUGCACCAUCGGUUCCUCGAAUCGUUGCACCACCGGUUCCUCAUGCUCAUGUCCCAAAGGUGCCUCCUCUGAUGGCUCCUCCGAUGCCGGCCAUGAUUAAUCCUGAUUUGAUGAUGCCGCCGAGUUCUCCUUACUCGCAGUACACGUUCGAGGACCUUCUCGCUCAGCCACAGAGAAGGUUUAUCAGUCCUAGACCCCGACCGAUCAGACGGAACUUUGUGUUAAGUUACAUUUUUUUAAAUUAUUUUAAAAUUCUUUUAUAACAAUAAUAAAUAAUUUAUACUUUAAAUUUGUUUUUCUUUUCAGGUUUGAGGUCGACAGAUGUGUUGCUUGGAACGUAACCGAGACGAUCAAAGGUUACUUCUCCGAGCCACAUCCGAACUGGAAAAAGACGCCGAUCUACGUCAGUGGUUCAAAAUUUUUGCUGUGAGUUACUAUUAAUUAAUUAUAUAUAGUUUAAUUUUUUCUGAUUUAGAUUUUUUAAUUUUUUAAAACUAACUCUUAAUUUAAUUUUUUCUGUUACAAUAAAAAUACCAUUGGUCCAUGGGGGUCAAUGAGAAGGUGAAGAAAACGUUUAACGCGAAGGCGAAAGCUCGCUUGUUGGACACGGUCUCUAACUGGAAGGGUGACUGGAUCGUGAAGGAGUAUGAGCGUGGCAAACCCCCUGAGCUCACCACGGAAGUGUGGGAUGGCCUCAUCCGGUAUUGGUGGGAUCCUGACUCCAUUAGAGUCGCUGAAUCUUGCUCUGCCUUCCGUCAGACGGUAGAUGAGCACGGCCACGAGCCGAUGCUUCACUCUACGGGUCAAAAACCCCACGCCGGUAUCCGUCUGGAUAUGGUAAUUCAAUACGGGUCAAGAACUCCCGUCUCUUUUGCAACUUUACAAGAGGAUCCACAAGAACAAGGAGGGCCAAUUUCUAGAUGCUAGGUCCGAGCAGAUCUUCAACGACUUGGUUGGUCGGGUUGAAGACAACCAGACCUAGCUGACCCAGCAGUCCACCGACGGAUUACCCGUUACUUUAUCCACACUUGAAGUGAAUAGGAUUUACGAGAAGUUAAAAAAUUUUAAUUUUUUUUUUAUUAUUCAUUUAAUUUAACUUUAACUUUUUACUAACAGUAUUUGUUUUUUAUUUUUAAGGUUGUCCCUAAGUAAAAGGGACGUACGUUGGGGAUUGGUUCCGUCAACGAUGUUCCGAGAGCGACAUCGUCUUAUGGUCAGAGACGGGAUGAUGAAGUCACUCACCUGCGUAACGAGUUGGACUCGACGCGAUCUGCGUUCACAGCUCUUAUGGGUGGAGUCGAGGGCUUCUUGGACGUUGUAGCGGUCACAAAUCUGGAAUGGGAGUCCUUGUUGAGGAACAUGCGAAGACAAAAUCCCAUUCCAGGCGAGUCAUCCGACACACAUGACGAGGCGGAUGUACAGAGGAGUGAGGAAUUCUACCGGUGAACGACCCUUAGUUCUUUUUUUUCUUUUCGUUGAUUCUAUUAUAAAUUCAAAACUUAUCUAUGUAUAAAAUGUUUUCGUAUUUACAUUAAUUUUUAAAUUAUAUUUUUAUUAAUUAAUUAAAUAUUUUUUUUUUAUUUUUUAUUUUUAAUUCUGGAAUAUAAAAAAUCGAAGUAAUUUCAAAGCUAAAUUACGACUACAUUGCGUGGAAAGUUUAUGAAGAAGUUACGAGGAAAACAUUUACGUCAGCACUACGAGGAAAGCUUAACGAGUAUUUUAUGUGGAGGAGUUUACGUGUAAUUUACAAGGAAUGACUUUCGAGUUAUUUACAAAAAAAUGUAGCGUCCUCCUUACGUGGAAAGGUUACGUGGUUUUGACGAAAAAUACUUUUCUUUGUCUUCAUGAUGAAAUAUGUUUCUCGCUAGUUUUCGACAAAUUGGCGAGGAAAUAUGCAUUACGAGAAACGAAUAACGAUAAAGCUUGUUUUCUCGCUAAUUCCUCGUAAAGCCUUAUUUACGAUGAUCUUACUACGAGUUUCGCCGUCGUUAAUGUUGUCUUUUCUUGUAGUUAAUGUGGAAAUAGUAUUAAUCAUUAUUUAAUCGUAUCAGUUAUUUUCAUCAACUACCGAUCACAUUUGUACCGUAUAUACUAUACUAACUAGUAGACCAAUCAUUCAGAAUCGAUACACAUCAUUUGAACCUCAUAACAAAUAAGCUUCGGGUUUUUGAUUAAAUAUUGAUGUAAUAUACCAUUUCAGAACACUUAAAUACGUCUUAAAAUAUGUUUUCUUCUCAGAUCAAACUAGUUGUACUACAUAUGAUGACGAUAAGAUGUGUUUGGUUUUUAGUGUCAACAAUAAUAUUUUAUCCUUUUAACAAAUUAACGAAUAUCGGAAAUAUUAAGGUUUAGAAUGGUAAAAGCAGUUCAAACGAUGCAGAUCAAGCGGAUCAUACAGAUUAAGCAGGAGAAGUGCGGAUCAAACGGAUCAUGCAUGAGAUAUGCAGAUUAAGCAGAUCAUGUAGGCAGAUUAAACAACUAUUAUAAUUUUGAAUGAUAAAAAUAGUUUAAAUAAAGAAAAUUAUUGUUUAAAUCAUAAAAAAUAUAAUAAAAUAUAUCAAAACAUAAUAUAGAAAUAUAACACAUACACAACAAUAAAUCUUGCACUGAAACCAUGCUACCGCAAUUUUGAAAUCAAUAUAUAAAUAAAAUAAUUUUAACUAACCUACAUAUUUAAAUUAUACUCCCUCCAUUUUUUUAUAUAAGUCGUUUUACAGCUAUACACGUAAAUUAAGAAAACCAUUAAUUUCUUAUAUUUUCUAAACAAAAAUAUCAUUAAUUAUUUACUUAACCACAAUUGAACCAAUAGAAAAAUAAAAGAUAUAUUACCAUUGGUCAUACAACAUUCAUUACUAAUAAAUUUUACAUAGAAAACCGAAAACGACAUAUAGUUUAGAACAAAAAAAUUUCUCUACAACGACUUAUAUUAAAAAACGGAGGGAGUAUUACUAUAUUUUGCAUAAUAGACAUUAUAAUUAAACACUCAUUGUAAAUAUAAUAACAGAUAUUUAACUAACCCACAUAAUUACCUUUCUACAAAAACCCCUCUUUGCUAAUUUAUAUUCAUAUAUAUAUAAAAUUGGAAGUUAAAGAAAUAAAUUAUACCUAAAUCAGAUAAACGAGAGUAUUUUUUUAAUUACGAAUUUAGUUAACUAUAAAUAUAGAAAAUGGUUUUUAAAUAAAGUGUAAGAUUAGUUAACAUAACCAACAUGAGUCCUCUUCUUUUUUUUUAUGUAUAGAAAUAGUAAGUAGUUAUAUUUAUAGAUGAUAAUUAAAUAUUUUCAGAAUAUUUUAGAGAAAAUUAUCUAUUGGUUAAAUAGAAAGUGGAACAAUUGAACAACAUUAAAAAUGGGGUGGGUCAAACUGCAUGCACAUGUCCUGCUUUUAUGCAGAAAAUAAUAAAAAAAAAACAGUUCUCCAGCAUAUUAUUUUUAUAAUUAAAAGAAAACAUGAAUGGCAAUAUAAAAACAGUUUUCCAGCCCAAGUGGAUGAACUGUCUUAAUCCCACUCUUCCAUUCAAACACUUAAACAUGAGGAGCAUGGUUUUGUCAGAAGUGUUUUAAGUAGAAUGGAAUAAAAUCCCCUAGCCAAGAACAAAAACGUGUAAUUUCUUUUUGUCAUCAACGCGUAAUUGCUUUUACAAAUAUAAAUGCAUGCAAGUGUUUUUUUGUUUAAUCCUCGGAGUAUCUUUGGAAAGGUUUAAACUAAUUCAUAAAAGGAUAUAUUCGCAUUUUAGGUUCUUAAAUGCGGCCUAAAACAUAAUUUAUAGCUGUGUGGCCAUACACAUUUAAUAUAGAAAGGUUACUUUGAAUACAAAUCACUCAGAACAUCUCCAAUCUCACUUUAUUUUCACUAUAAAAUAAAAUUUAGAGUCAAAAAUACUUUAAUAGUACUAUAUUUCUCACUCUGUAAUAGAGUAAAAACAAAUUUAUUUCAAAUAUAGAGUAACUUGUUUUUUUUGUUCAUCACUUUAUUUUCUACUAUAAAAUAGAAUACUAUUUAAGAAAAUUCAAACUCUAUUAUAAAAUUACUCUAUUUUCUAAUAAAAAAUAGAACAAAUCAAUAGAGAUAGUCUUAGCUUACCGGUCUACUCUACUAAACUAUCCAUGUAUGCUUAUGCUUUUUUAUUUUGCUAAAAAAUGCAUGCAAUUGCUUUGAAUUCCAUGUAAGAAAACUCCACCAAACAAGCGAGAAAAUCAUAACUCAAAUAAGAUGUUCAUAUGGUAUUUUCCGCAGUUAAAAAAACUGAAUUUGGUAUUGAGCUUUGACAUCUCAAUUAUUGGAUACAGCUUGAAAACAUAUUUUACUUUUCCCAGAUAAAGCAAAGACAAAAACGCAAUUAGCCAGAAAAGAAACAAAAACCAUAGGCUAUGAAUGUUUAUUGUGGUUGACAUGCGGGACGGACUGGACUGCAAUUAAGGUCACCAUUUAAACUAAUUAUUUGGAUAUAUGUGAUCUGAAGAUUAAAUAAUAUAAAAAAUAAAGUGGAGCACGGACGGUUUACAUUACAUAUGCAAAUUAUAAAUACAGCAAAAGAGGUGUGUUUCAAAGUGCGUUCUUAAUUAUUUGUAUUUUAAUUGAUAAUAAAAUAUUUUAAAAAUACACAUAAUUUACGGCACAUUUAUCUGAAUUUCAGAAAACUAGUUAUACUCUGUAACAUUUUUUAAAAAAUAAUAGUAAAAUAUGAUUUUUAUUUCAGUUUAUAAUAUAUUGUUUUGGUCACCUUUCACAUAUUAUUUUAAACCGCUUCUUUUAUCUGAACUGCAAUAUGUGUUUCUAUUAUAUCAACAGCAGUCAAACCACACUGUAAUAUCUAAUCUGCUUGUCUUGUACCCUAGACCGCUGUUACCAUUCGGAGCCAUAGUAGUUAAAAAAGUGAAUUUGGAUAAGAUGUGGUGAAUAAAUAAACUGGUAGAACAUCAGACAUGGUGUUCGAAAAGUGUAGCCAUGGAAAGUGUCUACAUGAUAGGUGAGCGAUAUGUGUGAUAGGUUCUAUUCUUAGCUAAAGGGUUAGACUUUUAGAUUAUUAGUAGACAGCUAAGCUGUUUUGUCGUUUAAUCCAUUUUUAGGACUUUGGUUUUUGGUUUUGCUUUUAGUCAAACCCUAGAAGCUCAUGCGCUACUCUACUACAUGUGAACUAAUCUUAUCAUAUUUUGUUAUCUUUUUAGUUACGUGUGCAUUUAGGCUUACAGAAGAUAAAUAAAUGAAAAUUGGAGGCUAUAGACAUGAAAAAAGAUAACACAAAGACUAGCGGUUUUACCUAACGGAUAUAUAUACGGCUUUAUAUAUACAUAAUAAUACUGUCAUACCCUUGCCAAUUAACCGGCUAACCUGCUAGAAGAUAAAUAAACAAAAAAUAAAAAUUUUACUGCCCAAAGUAAUUCGUUUCUUCUUCCAUUCCACACAACUUCUCCUUCUCACUUUCUUCGUCGGUAGUUUUCUGGAAUUCGAAAGGACCCUGCCGCUGAUCUGCUCCAACGGCUCGCCUCUGAAUGCAAUCAACUUUUCAUCUCCAUCGUCUUCCCUUGUAAUCGUCUUUGGCUUUACGGGCUCGGUGGUUCUGUUUUGUGUUACGGUUUCGGCGGAGGGGAGUAACACCGCCGGCAUCUCCAACUUCAUAGAGUAGCGGUUUUCUCAGAUCUUUGACAACGCCGUAAGUUCUUUCGCUUUCUGCUUCGUCUCUGUUUCUCUGAUUUUUUUUUCGACUUGUCAAAAUUAGGGUUUUUAAUUGUUAAGUCUGUAGCAUCGUUCCUGUUGGAAACCAUUGUUCCGGUUAUUGAAUUCCAUCGUCGCAGAUCGGACUUUCUCAAAUUGAUUUAGGGUUCGAAUUUUCCCGAGUUGUGUGAGGGUUUCUUAAAUUUGAAUUGUUUCAUAUCGAUGAUGCAAACUAUGUGGUGUAGUAAAUUAUACGAAGAUGUGUAGAAUAUCAUUGCUUAGAAUUAGCCUGUCAGUACACAUAGUAUGAAACUUCAGAUCUGGUUUCUAUUUAGAAUGUAAUAAUAUUUGUAUCCCUUCAACCAUUCCAUGUAGGAUAGUAUCACUUGCGAUAAUGUUUGAUUUGCUGCACUUUAUGUUUGGGUGUGGUUCAGUCUGAUGUUCUUAAUCUAAGUUAUGCUUGAUUUGGGGUUUUUGUCUCUGUGGUCCAAAGUUCAUGGUAUAGAAAUAUCGAUUAUUUUGUGGAAUGCAAUCUGCAACACAUAUAUGUUACGUCUAUGACCGUAUCUGUAUAUUUGGUUGCUAUGUGUCAUAACAAGUGGAAUAGUAUACGGUUCAUAUUAUUCCAUUUCACAUGGAACGUACAUUCACAUGAUAUGUUGUUCCAUUCGGUGGCCGGUUCUUUCUCUGUUUAACUCAUUAUUCAUUUAUAUAUUUUAUAUGACAUGUGAAACAUCUUCACUCUUUGCCUCUCUUACUUUUCAUCCUUCAGGUUUGGUAUGGACGAGUUAGAGCUUCCAAGUAGAUUGUUUGAGACAGGCUGUGAACCCACUGGCAAGAAAAGGGUUAACAACUAUUUCAAUCUCCGAUGGAUUGAAGUGAUAAGGAGUGCAUUAGAGGAUGAGGACCUGACGAUGUUGAGUGCGUCACAGUUUGGCCAAGUACUUAAGAUGGGGUCCCAUACCUUCUCGGUUAUGUUUCUUCUUACAUUCUUACACGACAGUUGGUCACUGAGAAGGACUUCAAACUUUGGUGGCUUUUCGUGGGGAAACCAAUUCGUUAUGCUAUUCAAGACUUUGCACUUGUAACUGGGCUCAAUUGUGGACAAAUAGUGGUUGUUCAUCAUCAGGUGAAGGGUAAAGGUGUGCGUGGUAAGGGAACCGGAAAAUUGAAAUUAUCGAGCGCAUCUCCGUCAAUAUGGGAUGUUCUGUUUGGAAGGGAGGAUAAGCCCACCACUAGCUGGAUAAUUGACCGCCUUGUGAAGAGAAAAAAAUAUAAGGACCCGUUAACCCGUCUCCGCUUGGCCUUGUUGGUGCUGGUUGAAGGUAUUUUGUGCCCCACAAGUGGCACAACGAAUAUCAGACCUGAGGUUGUGUGUAUGCUGGAUAAUCUGGAUGAGUUCCUAAACUAUCCAUGGGGGCGUGAGUUAUUGCUCGUCACGGCAGUACAAAAUCUCGUCCACCCAGUCAUUAUGUGUUACAUGACACAAUGGCCAUCCAAGGAUUUUCGCAUGCCAUAGUUCUUCUUACAGUUGCUGCUUGCCACUCGAUACUAUUUAAACCGGGAGCAGUUACCCCCAUGGAUGAUAAGUCUAAAGUCAGUGAAGAUAUUGUCCAUGAGUUGCUUGAUUGGAAGUUCAGCGUGAAUGUCGUCUGAGCCAAAGCUGUCGACCAAAAGGGCCAGGUAUCAUUUUAUAAGUGCUCUCUCUAUGUUACACUCUUUAUCGUUCGUAUUCGCGUGUCAUUUGUUUUUUUAAGUGAUUUGUUUUUGUAUUUUGGGGAAUAUCUAGUGUAGUAAUUUUGCAGAAGACUUGUGGAAUAUCAUUUCGUAGUUGUGCUUUCUUUAUCACAUAGUAUGAUUUUCCCAAUCUGGUUUCCAUUUGGAAUGUAAUAGUUUGGCUGCCUUAGAAGGAGAGGAAAGAGAACCUCUAGGACUACAAGCAGUAAGCCAAGCUGGUUUACUUUCUCGUAUCCGAGAAUAUCAAAUGAGAGAUGUGAACCUGAAGAAGAUACGAGAGCAGUUGAACGAAGGAAACAUCGGAGGAUAUCAAGUUGCAAGUGAUGGAACUUUGUUACUCAAUGGUCGAGUAACUGUUCCGAAAGGAGAAGGACUUCAAGAGGAGAUUCUAAGGACUGCACACCAUUCUCUCUUAAGCAUUCAUCCCGGGAGCACAAAGAUGUAUCGAGAUAUCAGAAGAUAUUACCACUGGCCAGGGAUGAAGAGAGAUGUUGCCAUAUGGGUUUCUCAGUGUCAAAGUUGCCAGAGGAUAAAAGCUGAACAGCAAGUCCCAGGUGGCUUACUUCAAAGCCUACCUAUCCCUGAAUGGAAAUGGGAUGCAGUAGCGAUGGACUUUAUUUCUGGUUUACCUCGAGCACCCGGCCGUGGGAAUGAUGCAGUUUGGGUGAUUGUCGAUCGUCUCACCAAAUCUGCUCAUUUUCUACCGAUGAAACUUACAGACAAAGUUGAGACGUUAGCAGAGCUGUAUUUGGAGGAAAUAGUAAAGCUUCAUGGGGUACCAGCAAAUAUAGUUUCAGACCUAGACCCGCGCUUUACAGCUGAAUUUUGGCGAGCCUUUCAACAAGCCUUGGAAACUGAUUUGCAUAUAAGUACAGCGUUUCAUCCAGAGACCGAUGGCCAAACCGAAAGAACCAUUAGAACUCUGGAAGAUCUGUUAAGGUUGUGUAUCUUAGACUGGAAUGGUCCGUGGGAAAAGUUUUUGCCGCUGAUAGAAUUCUCCUACAACAAUAGCUACCACUCUAGUAUUGGUAUGUCACCAUACGAAGCAUUGUAUGGUCGACCUUGUAGAACGCCAGUAUGUUGGGCAGAAGUUGGUGAGAGAAGAAUUCUUGGUCCAGAAAUAGUAGAUGAGGCUGCAGAAAAAGUAAGGAUAAUUCAAGCCAAUAUGAAGAAGGCUCAAGACCGACAAAAGAAGUAUGCAGACCGCGGUAGAAGAGAGGUUAUUUUUGCAGUAAAUGAUUUAGUCUUCUUGAAAGUAACUGCACAAAAAGGAAAGGAUCGAUUUGGAAAAAUUGGGAAGCUAGCUACUCGUUACAUUGGGCCGUACCAAAUUAUCGCUAGAGUUGGAGAAGUAGCCUAUAGACUAGAACUUCCACACGAUAAGCCUAUGCAUCUGGUAUUUCAUGUGUCGAUGCUGCGUAAGCAUAUACCAGAUCCGAAUAUGGUCGAGCCGCAGCGACCAGAGAACUUGCAACCUAACCUCACUUAUCCUGAAGGUCCUUUGCGAAUAGGCGAGCGUCGUAUCAAGAAAUUGAAGAAUAGGGAAAUUUCGCAAGUUCAAGUAUUUUGGGGAAAGCGACAGAGAGUUGUUAUAACAUGGGAGGAUGAAGAUAAGUUCCGAGUUGAUUAUCCAGAACUCUUCUCAGAUACCCCAGUCGUCUAGUAAAGGGUGUACACUUGUUUUUUUUUUUAGAAUUCGGGGACGAAUUCUUUUAAGGGGGGAAGAGUGUAAUAACCCUCAUGAGCCAAUAAAUUUUUGGUCGAGAAAAAUCCCGCUUGACCAGUUUUUAGUUGGUUCAACAAGGAUUAAUAAAAAUAAAGAUCGACCGGUAGAUUAAUUUCUCGAAGGGACUGUCUUGUGGUUGAAAGACCUUCACUUGAUGGUUUGGUCGAGUCUUAAAUAUUUUGGUCGAAUUUUUAUUAAACUGGAAGAGAUUUUCCGAGAGCAAGACGAGAGCCAAAGACAAGGAAUAUUUGGUUGAAAAAUUAUUGAAAAUUAUCAACCAACUGCUACAAUUAAUUUUGGACCAGACUCAUGUCUUCCACCAGCCUGCUUGCUCAGUCUUUAAUCACAUGACUUGCACCUGCCUACUUGCCUAGCUUCUUCAGUAACUGUCACAUGACAAUCACAAGCUGCCUGCUUGCCUUGUUUCUUAGAUUGUCAUGUGAGAAGCACAUGAAAGGGGUGGAGUUUCUUCAGGUUAAGGAAAGGACAGCAGCUUGUGCUGAGAGUGCUGAAGCAGCUGGCCAGCUGUCCCCACUCAGCUUAGCUUUGUCCUGAGUGAAACCCUCACCUGAAGCAAGCUCACCUCACAUUUAACCCCUCUCCAGCUGCUUCCCACGUUCAGAACCCUGCAGAAAAACCUAGAGAAUUUCAGUGAGAAAGAGAGAAAGAAGAACAGAAAAAUCAGUGAGAAAAAUCAAGAAAAAAUUGGUGGUGACCUAAUCUUCAACCUUAGCUCAGUUUCUUACCUUGGGAAAGAUCAGAAGGUGAGAUUUUUAAAUAAAACCCUAGACCUAGUUGAGUUCAGAUCAUGAUCAGACCUUGAUCUUUCUCUUUGAUCAGUCCAGCCACAAGCUUACGUUGGAGAAGAGGAUCAGCUGAGGCCAUCUAGUCCUUUGGUUCAUCUUGGUAAGCUUUGGUCUCCUUGCCUCAGUCAGUAUCUGAUCAGAACAGUUGAUGUUUAGUUUAGGUCUUGGUCGGAUCAGUUGUAUAAGUUCUGAUACAGUUCAGUUCUUGUUAAUUUCGGUUUGAAUCAACCUCUUAGAACCCCCAGCUAUGAUAUUUUGAUCUGGCUUUGAGUAAACCGAUUUGAACUCAGUCUGAUCUUGUCCUGAACUUUGGUAGACUGACUAGAACCGAGCUGAACUUGUAUAGUCUGAGCAGAAAGAAGCUUGAACUGAUCUGAUCUAAGGUGUUAAGGCAUGAACCGAACUGAUCUUAUGAUCAUACCACUCUGUUUCAGGUCAGAGGUAGAGUAAAGCUUGAAGUAUCCAGUCUUGUCCAUUCAGCCUUGUUCAAGUGGAACUCAAGUCUUGUCCAAGCCAGUUUCAAGACUAAUCUUUAGGUGAGUCUAGAGAGAAGAUGAGAUAGAUCAUGAAUGUGUACAUGAUUGAGUUUAAAUUGUAGUAUCUCAAUUAGAUAGUAAAGUCUUUGAAUCCUUUAAGAAGUGUAUGGGUUUACUUAGUGUAAACACUUACACUUAAAGAUUAAUCAAAAGGUUAAAGUGAGGUUAAUCAUAAUCAUAGUACUUGUUCCCAAGUACUAAUCUUAAUUAUGAAAUAAUCAUGGUUUUGAUUAUGGAUUAAUCUUGGUUUAAUUAAGAAUUAAUCUUGGUUUAAUUAAGAAUUUAAUCUGAGAUUAAUUAAGAAGUAAUCAUGAUUAAUUAAGUACUAAUCUUGGAUUAAUUAAAGAUUAAUAUGAGAUUAAUUAAGGAUUAAUCUAGGAUUAAUUAAGAGUUAAUUAUGAUUAAUUAAUGAUUAAUUAUAGAUUAAUUUGAAAUAAAUAUGGAAGUAAAUUAAUGUGAAGUAAAAUGAUGUGAAGUCUUGUUAUAUUCACUAUCCAUAAAGCCCCCGUAUUACCGUGACUUGGUCCUGCGAAUGGAACAAGGUCAUGAAGACACGAUGAUGGGGUAGCUCCCUGGAGACCGUGUACUCCAUGACGAUGCAGUGUCGGAUUGUUCAUACCGGACAUUCGACAUUUGAGUCAUAAACUUAUAGUACUUCGGCCAUAUAAAAUAAAACAUUCAGUGUAUAUAUAUGGGUCAAUAGUAUAUACAAUUUCAGAUUUUAAUUUUAUUAAAAAUAUUAUAAGUAUUUUUUAUAGUUUACAUUUGGGUUUAGGUUUAGUGAUUGGAAUUUAGGGUUUAGUAUUUAGGAAUUGGGGUAAGGUUUAAUAUUUAGGAGUUGUGAAUGAAGUCAUAAUCCUAUACUAUUUCAGCCAUCUGGAAUAGAGCAUUUAUGCAUAUGUAUGUGGUCAAUAGUAUAUAUUGUUUCAUAUUUUAAUUUUAUUCAAAAUAUUAUAACUAUAUAUUAUAGUUUAUAUUUGGGUUUGGGUUUAGUGAUUGGAGUUUAGGGUUUAGUAUUUAGUAUAUAGGAGUUGUAUAUGGAGUUAUAAUCCUAUACUACUUCGACCAUGUGGAAUAAAAUAUUCAGUGCAUAUGUAUGUGGUCAAUAAACAUGUGACGUGGAUGAUUCUUUUCUUUUUAUGUGAAAUAGUUUCUAGACACAUUUAACCAUAUAUUUAUUGAUUACGUGGAUAUAUAGAUCACAUUUUUACCGGUUAAUGGCAGAGAGAAAAGGUAUAACCGAAUGAAUUAAAAUGUAAAUAUUAAUUUUUUUCAUUAUAUCAAAAUCAUUGCUAUUUACCUGGUUUAUCUUCAGCUAGUACACAAAUAAUCCCAUAAUUUUAUCACACACGAGUCACAGACAUUCACUUCAUAAAAGAUGGCACCAACAAAAUGGAUAUGAAAACUAUUAUUAAUCGGUGUCGUGCUGGAAUUUUAGUUCUCAAGGAAAUUUAUCUUUGUAAUUAAUUCAUUGACCUCCACACGCAAAAACUUUCUAUAUAUAUGAACCAUAAAUAUGGAUGCAAAUUUGAAGACCAUGACCUUUUCUGGAUAGAAAUGAUCCAACCUGUCCACCAUAAACUAAAAUCUUAUUGAGAAUUUACAAAUAUCAAUAGCGCAGAAAUGAAAAAAAAAAGUGUGGCUGUCGUAUUCAGUACAUUCCAAUUAUAACUAUUGGCCAUUUUUAUUUUGUUUUGUAUAAAUUCAAUAAACAUAAAGGGUAAACCCAGACACAAAGCCCUCUCUUUUUUUUUUUUUUUUUUUGGUAAACAUGUUAAAAUUGAUUACCGUUUUCGAGUUUUUUACAGAGUUUACAGAGAAUUACAAGUAGCGGAAACAACAAACUACAACACAACAACGAAAAACAGAAAGAAAAACACGGCAACUAAACCAAAGCCGAGAAUCGACGAGAGAGGUGAGAGGACAUCACAAAGCUACUAGGAGUGUGCGACACGCGAUGCGGAGAGAAAGUGUUGAGGCAACAUUGAACAACAUGAGUCACGAGCUGGUAAUUUUGGCCUCCCCAAGCUCGCCUCCAAAAAAAUAAUCACCUACCACGGACCUCCGACGUAGGGCAUCUAGCACCGAUACAGACGCGAGGAAGAAAUUUGCAGCAGACGACAACAGAGACUACUCCGGCCGACCCACCAAACACUUGUCGAAGCAUCGGUUGCCGUUAUCACCUCCACCGGACCUGCCUCCUCUACUCCUCCUUAUCGAACCUCACAAGCACCCGAUCUCCUAUUGAGCUCAAGAGAACCCCACCAAACCACCGACGCCAUAGCAACAAUCUAGCCAGCCGCUCUUAUUUGGAAGGCAAAUGGAAGAAAGCACGCCACAGCCACCAGAACCUGCAUAAUGAAAGAAGCUAACACCACAAGGAUUGAAUCCGAAGAAUCUCUCCUACAUAACGUGAAUGAAGCAACCCACGCCGCCACCGAGAGAGCAGACCAGGCCGACAACACCAUGGACUAGCGCACUCGCACGAGGGUCAACCUCCGAGAACCGGAGACUGAAAAAACAUUAUACAAGAAAGCUCGAACCUACUUACUUCGUUGGAACGCCACAACCAACUCUGAUAAACAGGAGAGCUCAGACCUCAAAAAUAGAUUUGACAGAGUCACCUUCUAGCCACAAGGACCAACCCCGCACCCACCUACACAGAGAGUCCGCCGACAGCAGCUUACCACCACCACCGAGGUAGACGACCAGAACCCAAAACCUAAGCCGACCGCAGUCAAUCUGUCAUUGGUGAUGAGAGCAAAGAAGGGUCUGCGAAGAGAUCCAAGAAUCGUCAGCCUCCCUACGGAGAACGCGAGUUCUCUUCAUCAAUCACGCAAUCCUCCACCGGAAGGACUAAAUCAAGACCCCGAGCACCACCACCGAGUCCCGACGGACCACCAGAAAAGUAGAUCUGGCCAGAUCUGUGCGAGAUUUUAGAGAAACCGCGGAAGAGACCACCCACGCUCCUACCCUCGACACGCCUCGCCCCUGCUCCAGAACUCAGCCCUCCGGGCAGCGACGCCGGAGACGAGCCCACAACCGAAAGCAUAUCGACGAUCUAGGUUAAGAGAGAAGGAGGGGAAACAAGAGAGAAACAGUAAAGAGCAAAGAGAAAGGAGACAGCCGACGACGAUAGAGGCAAACCGGAGCCGAAGCACCGGAGCGCCGUCGGCUGAGCAGAUCUGAGCAAGUUUCUUUUGUCGCUAGAGAAAAGUGUGUGAGAGAGAGACAAAACUCUGUUCUUUGUUGUCCAAAGCCCUCUCUUUGGUCUCAUUCUAUUGCUUUUUUCAUGAAAAGCCAAAGCCAAUAAACAGUGUUAGGAAAAAAAGAAAAUAUUAUUGUUAAAAUUUGGUAGACAAUUCAAAAAGGAUCUUGCAGAACUCAUGAGAGGCAUGUAUGUAUCAGACUAUCAGUAUAAGAGGUACCUUGUUUGAUAAGGUUUUGGAGUUUUAUUGAUAGAUGAAUUUUUCGUUAGGAUGCUUUUGUUAUUAUAACCGAAUAUAAGGAGAUAUAAAGACCUACAAUCAAUAGUAAAUUGGUUGAAUCUUGGAUCUACAAAAACAAUAUCUUGAAAUUGAUAAAGAAUCGAAGAUCAUGGAUUUCUGCUAUGCAUGAUCUCAUUUUUUAAUCCAUUAGUUGGAUAUUUUUGGAAAAUAAAUCACAAUUCGUUAUCCUUUAGACAAAGGAGAGCAACUUCAUAAGCUUUUACAUACCCUCAGUGCCUUUUUGUCAAUUUUUGUGAAAGAAUAUCUAACUGAUAAAUAAAUAUUUUUAAGAAGACAAGAAUCUCUUAUUUUUUUUUUCAACGGAGUGGAAUAUAGCUAUGACCUUUCUGCAUGUAUACUAUACGUACGUAGGCCAAUUUUUUAUUUGUUAAAUAAUAAAUGUGAAUGAAUCUAAUAACUAAUAUUUGUAUACCAGUAGGCAGUAGAGAUGACGCCAAAAGAUGGAUCCAAUCCAUGGUUAAUGAAUAUGCAGAAUAAAGAGAGAAUGACAUAAGAAUUCAGAUGUGACGUGACAUAUUGGCCUCGAUUACUUAGACUACGACAUUUCAGACCUACCAAUUUUUACAGUUUUUAAAUUACUCGUAUAAUAACAACCUAUAGUUAUAGAAUCUUUAAUUUUGAUGUCAUUCAAAUACUUAUAAGUCUACCAAAAACUCGCAGAAUGUUCCGUCUUUUCAGUUUAUUUUAUGUUAUCUUGUUUUGUUUAUAGUUGUAGUAGCACUUAAAAGUCUACCAAAAACUUGCAGAUUUUGAGAUUAGUGUUGUACCAAAAAGCUAUAAGUUUACUUUAGUUGAAUUCAGGCCCGGCCCUGGGCUAAAGCCCAUAAAGCAAGGACUUUAGGCGCCAAAUAUUAUACAUAUUUUGAGGGCGCCAUAGCUUACUUAAAAAUUGCCCUUAAGCUAGUGGUUGUUAUCUUGUCCUCAUGAAUAACAAGUCACGUGUUCGAAACUGACUUCUUAUUCCAUUUUUUUUUAUAAUAAUACUUUUGUCCUUUUUGAUGAUAAUACAACAAAAUUUGAUUUAUUCAUUAAUACACAUAAGAACGGUUAGUACUUAAUCUAACAACUGCAGUUUCUUUCUUUAUACAUGUUAUAUUAAGUAGUGUGAGAAUAAAUAAAUAAUUUAAUUAAACAAAACCUAAUUAUUUUCUUUACGUCCUUUUGUGUAAACUCAAAUGAUCAAUUCUUCAUAUUCCAAGUUUGUUUUUAAUUGACAUUCAUCUGUUAUAGCUGCAUUUGUCAUGUAAAAAUUUUCCCUCUUUCUUUUAUAGGUUUCUGUGGCUUUUUAAAAAUGACAUGACAAACAUAAACUAUUGUAAUAUUUCUACAUUCGAUGCUGAUAAAUGAUUUUUCAAAAAAAUAAAUUAAAAUUAAAAAUUCAUGAAAUAUUUUUUAUAUUUUCUUCAUUUUAAAAAAUAAUUUUAAUAAUAUAUAAUAACAUUUUAUUAACUAUUUUAAAAUAUAAUAAAAAUAAUAUAUUUAAAGGGCAUAUUUUUUAAGCACGCUUUAGGCGCCUGAUAAGUCCGGACCGGCACUGGUUGAAUUAAGUAAAAAAAAGUGUCGCUAGUGACUUAACGCUAUAAUCUAAUAAAAAUCCCGAUUAGACAUGGUGUAAAACAUAAAACAAGAAAAAAGAAAAGAGUUAAAUCAAUAGUAUCAGUCCUUUCGGGAACAUCUGAUCAAAUUCAAAAGUAUUGUUGGUAAUAAAUAAUUAAAUAAAUCGAAAAAAGGCCCAGUGGGCUAUUUAUUUUCAUGGCAUGCGAAUCGUAAAAAAACGUCGAAAAAAAAGAAAAAAGAAAAAAGAAAAAAGUAGAAGACAUGCUCUGCUAAGUGGUCGCUGUCUUCACUCUCUCAUCUUCUCUGUGUAUUUGGCAGUUGAAUUUCUCUGCAUGCAAAAUCUAGUUUUAGAUUUCGUGUUGGAUUCUCAGUACCUUAUUAACUUCCCAAUCUACCCCUGUCAUCAAACGUCAACGUUAAUAUCUCUCUUCCUUCUUUCUCUCUCGCACAGAGAUACACUAUACAUACAAUAUAUUGCAUAUGAUAUAUGUAGGAUUUAGUUUAAUUAUCUAUCGUGAUUUUAAUGAUUUGUCUAUUAUUGUGUUUCUCCUUUCUCUUUCACCAUACAUGCAAAAUCUCCUGCAUUUCUGUCUCAUUCCGGAAAUUUUAUGUAAAUACAAAUAAAUGGUCCUAAAUUCUAACAUCUUAAAAUUUGAUCACUAAAACAAUAAAAAAAAAUUUUUGGUGGUAUUCACGUUUGCAUUAAGUUCAAUAACAACUCACAUGUGAGAUACUACAUAUUUUUGAAACUGUUUUUUUUUGUGUCUGUCAACAAUUGGAUGAGGUAGCAUUAAUGUAUAUACGCUGACAUUACCAACCAAAUGUUUCUGCUUUUAUGGAUAGUUCUAUAUGUUGCACUUGAUUGUAGAUACUAAAUUAAACUGGUUUAUUCAAACCCAUACCCUAAAAAUGGACCAGAAUGCAAGUCGUGGAUUUGUUUAGCUAGAUAAUAUGUGAUUCUGAUGAAUUUUAUCUUUAGUAAUCUUUGUGUUUGUAAAUACGAUGAUGUUAAGUUUGUUCAGUUGUUUGAUACGAAUCUCAUGUAUUACGUACCUAGAUAUAAUCACGUGUAUUUGACCUAAUAGAAAUCCCAACGAGACUAGAGCUCAAGAUAUGAAAGAAUCUAAUGAAAUAUAUAUACUUCAAAGUUUACAUUUUUUUUCCUUUCUUUACGGAAGAUUAGAUAAGAAAUCAAAUAAAAAUUAAAUGAUAAUCAAACCAAUAAUCAUGUACACUUUUUGACCCAAAAAACAAAUCGUGUACACUUCAGGGGUACAAUGGUCACGGCAGAACCAGUAUGAAGCCAAAGAGUCGUCUCUGUCCUAAAAGAUCUACAGCUGUUUCGUCUGUGAAUAGAGAAGAAAUUAAAUGAUUAGAACGUUUCCCGUUUGCGUUCUCCGUCGUGAUCUUGCGGUUGUUGACGUUUUGUUCAUGUCUCCUUUUGAUUAAUUGGUUUCAAAGUGAAUAAAAAAUAAGAUGAGUAUUAUUGGAAAACAUUAACAAAGAUAAUUGGAUACAAAAUGGUACUACGUACUAUUUAAAUUUUGACGUUUGGUGGAAUUGUUAAUCAUUACAAAAAUCAAAGGAAGGAAAGAGGGACCUCUUCGUGCAUAUGAUUUUUCCCUCCAAAACAACUGCUCCCACUAUCCUUUUUCAUUCCAACAAAAUCAUUCACACUAGAAAAUCUGUCUCUUUAUCACUUUCAUGCAAAAAUAAACUAUCUUAGGUAAUUUCUUUUGUAAUCUCAAAUGAUUGAUGUCUAUUAUUUGAUGAUACUAUCUUCUGCACUCAAGGAUUUAAUGAUUUUGUAUUUGUAAUUCAUCGUAUAUUAGGUGUUUCGCCCGCCAAACAGAUAUAAUUAUCUUAUUAAUAUUUAUUAAUAAAAGUAUUAUUAAUUUAAAGACGAAUAAAAUAAUUUAUUGUCAUCCACUUACAAUAUCAAUAACAAAUUUAACAUUAGACUAUUUAUAUACGAUGCAAUCUUACAUUAAAACACACAAAUAUAUAUAACAAAUAUAUAUAUAUAUAACAAAUAUAUCUAUAUAUAUAUAUUUAACAAAAAUUAGAAACAAUCAUGUUGUGUAAACAUUGUAGAAAUCUCUUUAUAUACAACUAUAAUUGUCUUUUAAAAAAAAAUGUUUUCAUUAAUUAUCAAGAUUUUGAACUAUGUUUAUCAAAACAUAGCUAACUAAGUGUUCUGCCCGCAUGUGCGGGCAUAGUGUCCUUAGAGAUAUUUAUCUGUUUAUAACUAUUAAAUCAAAACCAACAUAAUAAAUUAUUAAUUAUGUUUUGAAAAAGAUAAAUCAAACAUUAAACUUUAUAUUUUAUAAUAAAAAAAUAUUAUUUCAGAUAAAAACACAAUAUAUUUAAGAAUUAAAAAUAUAUUUUAUUUUUUGAGAAUUUUAUUAUAUUUACUUAUAGUCAAUUAUCCAAUAUAACAUAUAAAUAAAAUAUUAUUAAUAUAUAUAUUCAUUAGUUUUUAUAUAUAUUCUUAUUGUUGAGUACAAUUUUAAAAAAAAUUCACAUAUAUUUUAGAAAAUAUAUUUAUUUGUUUGAUUAGCAUUUAAUUAUAAUUUUUUUAUAUCUAACUAAAUAUUUUAUAAUAAAAUAUUAUUUUCAGAUAACAACAGAAUAUAUCUAAGAAUUAUCUUAUGUUUUAAAACAUGUUUUUAUUUUUGAAAUUUUUAUUAUAUUUAUUUAUAGUCAAUUAUCUAAUAUAAUAUAUAAAUAUAAUAGUAUUAAUAGAAUUCGUUUUAAAUUAUUUAUAUUUUAGAUAAUUCUUAGUAUUAUUAAUUUUAAUCACAUAUUUAAUUAGAUAUAUUUUAAAUUCGUUUUUAUUUUCAACUAAUUUAUAUAAUUUAUUCAUUAAAGGUAAAAGUGAUUUAUUAUUAAUAUUAAUCAAUUUUUUAAUCAGAUAGAUUUGAAAUUUAUUUUAUUAUAUUUAUUUAUAGUCAAUUAUCUAAUAUAAUAUAUAAAUAUAAUAGUAUUAAUAGAAAUUCCGUUUUAAUUAUUUAUAUUUUAGAUAAUUCUUCGAAUAAUUAAUUUUAAUUACUUAUUUAGUUAGAUAUAUUUUAAAUUCGUUUUUCUUUUCAACUAAUUUAUGUAAUUUAUUCAUUAAGGGUAUAAACGAUGUAUUAUUAAUAUUAAUCACUUUUUAAUCAGAUAGAUUUGAAAUUCGUGCACAAUGGUGAUAUAUUUUGUGCACGAUGUAGCGCUGAUGAGGAAUCAAUUGACCAUGUAUUUUUUGAAUGUCCUCUAGCAUUACAGGUUUGGGCGCUAUCCAAGAUACCAUCAAAUCCAGCUAUUUUUCCAAUUUUUUUACAAAUAUGGAUCAUCUAUUUUGGAGAGUUUCUCCGCAGUUAGAUGAUCAUCAGUUUGCAUGGAUUCUAUGGUAUAUCUGGAAAGGAAUGAAUAAUAAAGUUUUUAGUAACCUUGAUAUGGAUCCUAGGGAUACGAUUAAACUGGUGGAAACAGAGUCCACACAAUGGGCUGAAGCGCAGAUAGUGAAGGAACAGAGAGCAGGGCCACAUGCAGAGGGUUCGGCAUUACCGUUAAUCCAAGGAAAAUGGUGCUUCACUGAUGGUUCCUGGAAAGAGGAUAGUAGUUUCUCCGGCCAGAGGUGGUUUAGUACUUUAGAAGGUUUUGAGGAAUUGAUGGGGGCAAGGAAUGUUCGGGCUAGUCUAUCUCCUCUAAAUACGAAGAUGGAAGCAUUACUUUAGGCAAUGGAGUGUAUGAAGAACUUACGAUAAUUUCAGGUUACAUUUGCAACAGAUUGUUCUCAAUUUGUGAAUAUGGUUUCGGAACCAGAAGAAUGGCCAGCUUUUGCAAGUUAUUUAGCUGAUGUUAAAGUCCGGAAAAAAAAGUUUUUCCCGAUCAGAGAUUGUCCAUGUGCCAAGAACGCAAAAUACAAAGGCGAAAAGCCUAGCACGUAGUUUCAGGAAGCAACCGUCUUUCGUCGUUCACAUGGAUCGACAUCUCCCAGUUUGGUUCACAGAGUCUGUAUGAGUCUGUUUAUGCUGAUGACAAAAAAAAAAAGAUUUGAAAUUCGUUUUUAUUUUUGACUAAUUUUUAUAAUUAUUCAUUAAGGGUAUAAACGAUAUUAACCGCUCUAACUUUUACUGAGAGCUUCCUUGCAAAAUUUUAUUUCGUAAAUAAUAGUAUAUAUAUAUAAACUUAUAAUUAUCAAGACUAUUUAAUGAGUUUUAAUUCAUAAUUCUCGAUAAAUAUAGGUUCAGAAAUUUAUGUAUUGAAAAAAUAUAUUAUUAUUUUGGAUAAUAGUAUAACAGACAUUAAUUUGGAUAAUAGUACAAUAGACAUUAAUUUGUUUUUGUCAAAAAAAAUUUAUUAUUAUUUUUGAAUAUUUUUAUUAUAAUCAAUUCAUGUUUAACAUUUAAUUAUAUAAAAGUUAUAUUAAAAUUAAAAUUAUUCCAUUAUUUUUAUUUAGUUGACGUUUUAGACGACAACAUACAAAUUAAGAAAGCUAUUAUAUUGUUUGUUCUAUCCUUAUUUAUCAUCAUUUUUUAAUGUGCAAAUAAUCUGGAUCAUAAUCACUAGUGUAAGGAUAAAUAAAGUCAAAAGUCACUCUAAUGUACACAAAAGUUUGUAAACGUCGAAUAAUUUCACACAAAACAAAAGUUCUAAAACGUUAUUUAUAACAAAACGAAGGGAGUAACGUAGAUAUUCACAUUUAAAGGAUCAUUCAUUUAAUUCUUUAAUCAUUAAUAUUAAAGGUUUUACUUUAAAUUUUCAAAGAUUAUCACCGCUUAGUCCAUCAUCAUUAGCAUAAUAUUAACUUUGAUCAAAAUUCUUUAUCAAAGUAACAAUUUUCACUCAGAUGAAAAUUUGACUUAAAAUAAAUAAAAUAUGACCAGGUUCAAUUAUUCUAUCGGUUAAACAAAUACCUCUUCUUUUUUGGAGCAACUAAAAAAUACCUCUUAGUAAAAAAAACCUGAUUUGUGGAUCAAAAUUUUGGUGUGCCAAAAAAUUAUAUCGAGAUAAGUCGAAAAUAAUAUUUAUUCUAAAUAUUCGUAUUUAUGUUCCCUCUGCUCCAUGCUGCAGGUAUGUUGACCAACGGCUCUACAUUAAAAGCAAAUUAUCAAAGAGAAAAAACGUUUCUUGUUCUUAUAUAAAAAUGGUUUCUGGACAUGUUUGGUAAACCGAGAGCAUAACUACAUUUGUUUUGUGUAUACAAUUUUUAAUUGCAGAAGAAAACUCUCAUGAAAUUUUAAGAAACUAAUGUAGAAGUAUUAGAAACAUGAGGUUUAACAAUGAUUAAACAAAACGUUAUGAUAUAAGCUGAGGGGUGAAAUUAUUAGAUUUACCGAACUUAGUUAUAGUAAGGUUUAAUGUAAACAAAAUAAGAAAGGAAAGAACAUGAGAAAUAUUGAUUACUAAUUGAUAAACUAUUUCCAUUUUAAAAUUGAAAAGGUUGAUACGUAAGUCAUGGUGAUAAAAGAUGAAUGGGUGUGGUUCUUGAGCAAAACGGCGCCGUAGAGAUGUCUUAUCCUACAUUGCAGCUGGUUGUUGCAGACAUCAUAGGGCCUACAUAUGUUUUUAAGUCCUAACAUAUCUAGUUUUUUUUUUGGACAAAAGUCCUAACAUAUCUAGUUAAUUAUCGCUUGUACAAGAGAAAAUUACUCUUUAGGGCAGUUUCAUCCAUAACACCAACUCCAUCCAUGACAUCAAAUUUGAUGUUUUGGUGUCAUAAUCUUAUUGUCGUCUUCAACAAUGACAUCUAGUGUAAUAUUAUACUCCUUCCAUUUCAGAAAAAUAUACUCCUUCCAUAUUUUUUAAUAUAAGUCGUUUUAGAGAAAUAUUUUUGUUCCAAAUUAUAUGACGUUUUCAGUUUUCUAUGUAAAAUUUAUUAACAUCUAAUGUUAUAUGACCAAUGAUAAUAUACCUUCUAUUUUAUUAUUGGUUGAUUUGUGUUUAGGUAAAUAAUUAAUGAUGUUUUUGUUUAGAAAAUAUAAAAAAUUAAUGAUUUCUUAAUCUAUGUGCACAAUUCUAAAACGAUUUAUAUUAAAAAAAUGGAGGGAGUAUUUUUUAGUAUUUUCACACAUAUUAAGAAAACACAUUAAACUGUCAUAAUAAAUGUAUUAUUUUAUGUAAUUUUUAAUUUUCAAUAAAUUUUAACUAAUACUAAUUCAAUAAAAUCAAUUAAUUUUUUAGAAGUUUACAAUCUUUUCAUAGAAAACACAAAAUACAUCUUUGUAAAACAAUUUUUUUUCUUCUAAAAAGUCUAUCUUAAUAAAAUGGAGGGAGUAUAUUAUUUGAUAUUUUCAGUUUUUAAAGUUUUAUAUUUUUAUUAUUUGUAAUUGAUAAAUAAUUAUUUUAUCACAUUUAGAUUAUUAUUUAGAUUUUAUUAUUUGUAACUGAUAAAUUUAUUUUGAAAAUAAAAAUAAUAGUUUUAUUUUUUUAUUAUUAUGUGAAAAUAAAAUAAAAAUAAAAAUAACAUAAUAAAUUUAUGUUUAAUUAAAAAUUUAGUAGCAAUGAAACUAUAUUAUUAAAUGAAACAUAAUAAAAUAUGUAUUUUAAAAAUUUGGUGUGAUGAAUAGUGUUACACCAAAUUUGGUGCAACACUAGUCACACUUCACCAAAUUUGAUGUCUUGUUGGAGAUGAAGUUACUUAAGUUUUGGUUUCUUGUUGGAGAUAAACUAACAGAUAUAUGAGACACAUACAUUACAUAUAUUAGUUAAUUUUGUAAAAUUUUAAUAACGUCUAUAAAAUGUGGAAAAUUAUCCAAUUUUUUUAUUCUAUCUUUUAACCCAGUGUAUUUGUUUUGUGCAUCGGAUCAACACCGCUUAUAAAUUUGUCGUACAGCUCAGGCCAUAAUGUCUUACAGAAUAAGCGUGACAACAUGCUGCUUACAACAUAACCAGAAACAUGCCGCUAUGGCACAACCACAAUUUAAGGUUUUUUAUUCAAAAAAAUCUCCUAGCUAAGCUUUCUAACUAUAAUUUGUAGCUGGAGCUACAAACAUGUCACUCAUGUAGAGACAGCAGUGUAUAUACACAUUGGUUUAAUGUAUAGCAAAAUCAAAUAUUAAUACGAGUAGAGACCCACUUGGUUUAAGAUUUUGGAAGAUAACGAAAUAAAAAGAUGAAUUCAAAGGAUGCAGAGUUAUAUAUGUCGGGUCAUUUAGAGCCGUGACCAAAAGUUUCGUCGUUAAUUUCUACGGUCGGUCAUGAAAUUUUUUGGAUGUGUCUUGACCCUUUUGUGGACUUCUGUAUAGUUUUGUCGGUUUAUAGGUUUGUAUUCGUAUCCCUAUUUUUUCCAAAAAAAAAAAAUCGUAUCCUUCUCUUUUUCUGUCCCAGUAACGAGACGUACGUAUAUUCACGAAAAGAAAAACGUUUAAUUUCAAUUUUACUAUAUACAUAUUUUUAAAAUGAGUCACACACAAGGUUAGCGCCUAAUAGUAUGAUUUUUUUUUUCUUUUUUGAACACACCUAAUAGUAUGAUUUAUCUAGUGGAAUUUUCAUUCAAUGUAUUUAUAUUUUAACGAGUCUUGAUGUUUAAUUAUUUAUUAAGAAUUAAGUGAGAAAUAAAAUGCAUAAAAGUAGCUUGUGCUUAAGAAAGAAAAACGAUAGAAACAAAAGAGUGGGGGUUCGUUGACAGUUGUAUUGUAACUCAUAUCUCAUACCAAUAGCUUUAACAAUGAGUGUGUAUUAACUUUCAAAUGUCCUCAAAGACUUUUAAGAAAUCAUAUAAUAAAAUGAAUUCUGUAAGGCUGAAAGUGUAAAAUAAAAUAAAAAAUGAAAUGAAAGUAAAGAAACGUCUUUCUCAAUAAGAACACAGAUCCCAACGGAUUCAAACAGCAAAUUUGUGCUUUGCUCUUCUCUCUUUAUCCUCUCAAAGACCCUCUCUUAUAUUCUAAAGCCCCUUCCUCCUUUUUCUUCUUCUUAUCAACCGAAACAAAGAUAAAACAAAACUUUGAGUUUUAAAACAAAACUUUGAGUUUUCUUAUAAGCUUAAAGAAAGAGAAAGAAAGAUGAUGUGUUCGUUGUUUAGCCAAUGAUUACGAUUUAGCUGACCACUUCGAGAGAUUUAAAAACAAAAAAACGAGAGAGAGAGCAGGGAGUACAUUUUAGAAAGAAAAGAACAAUGAAGUCCUUUUGUGAUAAUGAUGAUAAUAAUCAUGGCAACACGACCAAUUUGCUAGGGUUUUCGUUGUCUUCAAAUAUGUUGAAAAUGGGAGGAGGAGGAGGAGAAGAAGCUCUGUACUCAUCUUCUUCUGCAGCUGCUACUUCUUCUUCUGUUCCACCGCAACUUGUUGUUGGUGAUAACAGUAGCAACUAUGGAGUUUGCUAUGGAUCUAACUCAGCGGCUGGGGGAAUGUAUUCUCAAAUGUCUGUGAUGCCACUCAGAUCUGACGGCUCUCUUUGCUUAAUGGAAGCUCUCAACAGAUCUUCUCACUCAAACCAGCAUCACCAUGCUCAAGGUUAGUAGUAAUGUGAAUUAGGUUAACAACAAGUUGGAUAAUCUUUAUUUCUUUUUUUUUUCUGGUUGUGUCUUGUAUGAUGGAAACAUGUUUGGUCCUGAGGAGUUUUUUUUUUCCUUUUUAGUUUCAUCUCCAAAGAUGGAGGAUUUCUUUGGGACCCAUCACAGCAAUACAAGUAACAAAGAAGCCAUGGAUCUUAGCUUAGAUAGUUUAUUCUACAACACCACUCAUGAGCCAAACAACAACACAAACUUUCAAGAGUUCUUUAGCUUCCCACAAGCCAGAAACCACCAUGAAGAAGAAACAAGAAGUUACCAGAAUGACCCUGGUUUGACACAUGGAGGAGGUUCUUUUAAUGUAGGGGUAUAUGGGGAAUUUCAACAGUCACUGAGUUUGUCCAUGAGCCCUGGGUCACAAUCUAGCUGCAUCACUGGCACUCACCACCACCAAAACCAAAACAACCAAGCGCAAAACCACCAUCAGAUCUCUGAAGCUUUGGGGGUGGAGACAAGUGUUGGAUUUGAGACAACAACAAUGGCGGCUGCUGCAAAGAAGAAGAGAGGACAAGAGGAAGUAAUGGUUGUUGGACAGAAACAGAUUGCUCAUAGAAAAUCUAUUGAUACCUUUGGACAACGAACUUCUCAAUACCGAGGCGUUACAAGGUUCUCUUUCAUUAUUAAUAUUUAAAUAUUAUUUGACUUUUGUUAGACAAGUUUUCUUGUACUUAUUAUUCAAAGGGUUUUAAUCACGUGAAACAGACACAGAUGGACUGGUAGAUAUGAAGCUCAUCUAUGGGACAAUAGUUUCAAGAAGGAAGGUCAUAGCAGAAAAGGAAGACAAGGUUUGGAGCAUUAUUUAUUUAUUAUUUUAAUUAUAAUCUAAUUAUAAUCUACUUUUCUUUAGGCUUAAUAUUUUAUAUAAUUUUAUUUGAUAUGUUACUGACAAUGGGUGUGUUUUUUUCUACCCUAUUUGUGAUUAUGAUUUGAUGAUCUUCUUCUUAGUUUAUCUGGGUAAGUACACACUUCAAUCUUCAUGGAUUCAUGAUUUCCCCCUAAAUUUUCUCGGGGAAAUAAUGAUGGAUUUUGACUGCUUUUUGUUUGAUUAAAACUUUUUAGGAGGUUAUGAUAUGGAGGAGAAAGCUGCUCGAGCAUAUGAUCUAGCUGCACUCAAGUACUGGGGUCCCUCUACUCAUACCAAUUUCUCUGUAAACCAUUUUCUCUUCCUUUUGAAUUUUUAAUUCCUACUUUAUAUCUUAUUGACCUUAAUGUUUUAUGUUAUGCUAAUUGAGUUUUUUUUAAUGGGUUUUAAAAGGUGGAGAAUUAUCAGAAAGAGAUUGAGGACAUGAAGAACAUGACUAGACAAGAAUAUGUUGCUCAUUUGAGAAGGAAAAGCAGUGGUUUCUCUAGGGGUGCUUCCAUCUAUAGAGGAGUCACAAGGUCCUUUAACAUACAUUUAUUCAACUUUAUUAUAUAGUUUUCAUUUAUAAAUUAGAAAAUGCGAAUAUUGAGUUUGUGGUUCUCUUGUACUAGACACCACCAGCAUGGAAGGUGGCAAGCUCGGAUCGGUAGAGUGGCUGGAAACAAAGAUCUCUACCUCGGAACUUUUGGUAAAUUUCACUGGUGAUUGUCGUCUAUUGUAAGCUAUUUUAAAAUAUAUUAUAGUCUCACGUAAUGUUUUUAAACACUAUUAAUUAGGAACUCAAGAAGAAGCUGCGGAAGCCUAUGAUGUAGCAGCCAUCAAGUUCCGUGGCACAAACGCUGUGACUAACUUUGAUAUAACAAGGUACGACGUUGAUCGCAUAAUGGCUAGUAACACACUCUUGUCUGGAGAGUUAGCUAGAAGGAACAUCAACAGCAUUGUGGUUCGGAACAACAACAACGAAGAAAACGCUGUUAAUGCUGUCGUGGACGGUGGUUUGAACAAAGAAGUUAGUAGUCCGGAGAGAGAGUUGAGUUUUCCGGCGAUUUUUACGUUGCCGCAAGUUGGUCAGAAGAUGUUUGGAGCAAAUAUGGUCGGAAACAUGAGUUCUUGGACUACGAACCCUGGUGCUGAGCUCAAGGCCGUUUCACAUACUUUGCCUCAGAUGCCUGUUUUCGCUGCGUGGGCUGAUUCUUGAUCCAAUCUAUUGCCUAACUAUGGUUUUCUUGGUUUAGUUGCCAAGUGUUUCAGUUUAUCCCCGGUUUUACCCGGUUUGAAUUAAAUUCGGUUUAGUUUAUCAGUAUAAAUAGUCUUUUGCUUAGGAGCGAGCGGUAUAUGUUUCUUUUGAGUAGUAUUCAUGUGAAACAGAAUGAAUCUCUCUAUAACAUAUGAUUUCAAUGCAUUUAUUUCUUCAAAUCCCUGUUUCUUGGCUAUAUUUAUAAAUGAGUAUGUAAUUCCCAUGGAUAAUUUUGAAAUAGUAGUCACGUGAUUAUAGAAGUAGUUAUGUGAUUAAAGUAAAGAGAAUUGGUGAAAUCUUUGAAAAUUAGUUGGAAAAAUACGAACUGUUUAUUAAUUUACGAGCAUGAACAUUUAGAAACUUUACCAAACUUAUAUGGUAAUUAACGAAAACGUGAACAUACAGUAACUGAUUCGAUGGCAUUGAUGGUUUUAGCAAUUGAUUAGAAAGUGAAUUUCUUGUAAAGAUAUGGUAAGAAAAGGAUGAAAAGAGAAUGUGCAUGGAGAUGAAAUGACCCAUAUCUCAUAAUUAGGUUUCUUCUCUUUAUUUUUGUUGUUCUUUUUAGUACACGCUACAGAGAUACUACGAUGAAAGUGAGUAAAAUAUGAAAUGUCACUCCAAUAAUGCGAUUUGCUUUAUUGACCAUAUCGACCCACAACAAUUCAGCAUACCUCACCACCUCAUUUCUUCAUUCCCUCCUUUUGUCUCUUUUUCACACCCCACCCCGUAUCAGCUUUUCCCUAAAGUUUCACCAAUUUUUUUAAUAUAUUCCCUCCAUGAUAUUUUGGGAACCUUUAAAAUAAUAUAUAUAUAUAUAUAUAUAUAUAUAUAUAUAUAUAUAUAUAUUCAAUUAGAAAGAUUAAAGGAUGUUGGAGAAGUUAUUGCGUGUAAACUUUUAAAAGCCACUUACUAUGAUAUAAUGAUGCCGGACGCAAAAUUAACGUAACUCAUACGUGGGAUCUGUUGAAGUUCAAACCAUUGAUUGUGUACAUUACAUAAUGUUCUUGGCUUUCCACACGUGUGGAUGAGUUGCCCCAAACAUGGACGCAAAAGUUGUUCAUUGGGCCGUGAACGAGUAUAAUUACAAAGUCUGGCGCACUACCUUAUUACGAAAACACGUGUUAAGGAAAUUGACCAUGUGUAAUUGUGUAUCAUGCAUGGCCCAAGUUUGAAUCGAAGUUUUGAAUGGUAAAAGCAGUUUAAACGGUGCAGAACAAGUAGAAUAUGCAAAUCGAACGGAACAAGUACAUAUCAAAUCAGUGGCGGAUCCAUGAAUUUUUUUUACCUAGAUCAUAAUUUACACUAUAAAAUGAUGUUGGAAGGGAUUCGAACCGAGAUUGGGGGGGGGGGGGGGGGGUCAAGAGUAGGGUAAAGUAACCAACUGAAGUGUUUCUUUUAACAACGUACAACUAAAAACUCAUUUUUUUUAUAUUUAAUGGGUGCCAGUUGACCCGUCUUUCUUUGCUGUGGGUCCGCCUCUGUAUCGAGCAGAUCAUGCAUGAGAGAUGGAGAUCAAGUAGAACAAGUUAUUUUUUAAAAUUAUAAAUGACAAAACAGUCUAAAAAUGCAGAUCAUAUAUUUAUCAUAUAUUUAAACAGUAAAAAUUACACCAAAAUAUCAAAACACAUAAUGAAAAAAAUACAUAAACAAAGGUAAAAUAAUUUAAUGAUUUGCCCAUAACAUAUCUGCAAUGUUGUCUCUAAUGUUUGUCAUACGAUCUCCAUCAGCCAUAUUUUUUAUCUCCAUGUCACUUAUAUCAUUUUCAGAAUUUUCGUUGCUAGUAUUUGUAUGUCCCAUUUCUUUAACAAAAUCUUCAUCAAAGUAGUUUGAAAUUCUAAUAAAAUUAUACAAUCCCAUUGUAGCAGUUACCGCUCUUUUUUGAACUGCAAUAUCAUAUCUCGGAAAAUCACUCAAAAUCCUCCAUUUCUUCUUCCAAACUCCAAAUGUCCUUUCAAUAACGGAACGUAGAGAUGCAUAACAUCGAUUAAACAGUUCUUGUUUAUUCUUAGGAGGAGGACCAUUGUUGAAAUGUGACAUGUGAGGUGCAAGGCGGGUACUUGCUUUUUUACGUAUACUUGAUACUUGGCUUGCCUUGAACGAGUAAUGAAUUUUUCGACUUGUACUUGACUUGUCAGAAACAAGUACUUGUUAUUUCGAGUACUUAUCCAAAAAUAUGUUACUUGCAAGUUACUUGCCUUGUUCGAUUACUUGCUACUUACAAAUAUUUAUUGAUUACUUGAAUAUUUUUUUCAAGUUUCUAAAAUUUACUUGAUAGAUAAUAUUUUACGAGAUAAGGUUAUAAAAGUUUUUUUUAUUUACUCGACUUGGUAAAAGCACGAGACUUAUUUUAAAUAAAAUAUUUGCACCUAAUAUAAAAAAAGAAGAUGGAAUCAAUAAAAAAAUAUUUUUUACUUCUUACAACAAAGAAAUAUUUGUUUAGGGCUUUGUUUUUUAUGGUUUAGUUAUCAUUUUUUUAGUCAUAAACAAGUAACGAGUAAUAUCAAGGCGAGUCAUAACUUUUUUUGUGAUACUUGUUACUUGCCUUGUACUUGCAAGUAGCAAAACUCAACGACUUGUUAUGACUUGGCAACGACGAGUACUUGAAAAAACGAGGCGAGUACGGGUCAAGUAGCGGGUAUAAGGUAAGUAACGAGUACUCGUGCCCAGCCCUACAUGUGAUACCUAAUAACCCAUUCUGAGAAGAUCUAUAGGGAGCCAAAAAACCUUGCUUAUUUGGAUAUCUAGAAUCAACUACAUAAUAUUUGUCUCCUAGAGGCAGAAGAAAGUCAGAAUCACCGUCUUUUGCCAUCGUGAGAACUGUUCUAUAGAAAAAUGUUGUAUUUUGUCGGCAAAUUGACUUCAUAUCUACAGUUUAAAAAUGACUAAUAUUAGUUUCGUUGAUUAAAAGUAAUGGAAUCUUUAUUAUUUGGUUGAUACAAAAAAAAUAUAAAUAGAUAAUGACGAGGAAUGGAUCUUUUUAUCAUUCCAUUGACACAUUAAUUUAAAUUAAAGUUUUGUCCUCAUUCGAUUGUUAGUUUAUCUCGUGCAUGUAUUUUCUCUUUUCAGGUAUUUAAGUUUUUUUUUCUUGCCUAACAAGCUUAAUAUUAUUAAGCUCAUAAGGCCCAUAUCAACACAAGUGCCAAACAUGGUAGCGACAAAACUUUCUAGUGAUAGAAAGAUAAAAUCCUCUCUAGAUAAGCUUCCCUUGUGUGGGCCUAAGUUUCUCUUCUUUUAAAAGUCCGUUACUUUUCGAAGAUAGAGCCAUAGUUUGGAAAAUAUCUAAUUUUCCCCUUUGUUGUUAUCUCUGGAUAAUAAACAUGUGUUCAGUAAAUUGUAGUCUGAAGAAACCUUAUGUUCUUUUCUGGGUUCAGCUCGUGACUUUUUUCGUGUUCUUGGUGAGUUCUAAUCUGCUAGAGUUUCGAGUUUCGUCAAUCGCUUUGAUAACCAUCAGUGUUUCUUCUGCGAUGUCGAUUGCUAUGGAUAAAACUUUGAUGGCGAUGUCUUUGGAGGAAGAGGACGUCCCAUUUGAUCUCCCAGAUCUUCCUGAGUUUAGUUCGAUAGAAAGAAACUAUCUGAGUCUAAUCGGUCGAAUCCUUAAUCCUGAUUGUCAACCGAUGCCUAUUUUGAUUGUGGAGAUGCCUAGGAAGUGGCAGAAAGUUGGUAAAUGCAGAGGAGUUGCCCUUUCUAAGGAAAAGUUUCAGUUUAUCUUUGACAACGAGUUUGAUCUGCUUGACGUCCUGGAUAAAGAAGUUCAUACCUUCAACGAAUGGACCUUGGUAAUUGAAAGAUGGGUUGAGAACCCUCCUAAAGAUUAUCUGCAGUAUAUUCCUCUUUGGGUUUAGAUUCGGCAGCUUCCUGUGAACUAUUACACUGCUGAAUCUAUAGAUGCUCUUGGCGAUUUGAUUGGGAAAGUUGAUACAGUUGCCUUCGAUCCUACUAAGGUUCAGGUUCAGAAUUAUGUUAGAGUGAAGGUCUUCUUUGAUGUUUCUAGACCCCUGCGUAAACAAAAGGUUGUUAACUUGCCAAAGGGUGGAACUGCAACAAUUUUAUUUUCGUAUGAAAGAAUCCAGAAGCGGUGCUAUGAGUGUCAGAAGUUGAAUCAUGAGCGUGAAGUGUGUCCGUUUAUGUUAAGAAAAAGGCAGUUAGAAGCAGCAGAAAGAAAAGCUUCAGGUUCCUUUAUGAACAUUGUAAAACCUUUGGUCCUUAAGCCUAAUGAUCCCUUAUUUGGAGUAUUAAAGGAGGAGCAAAUAGGUAUUAAUCCCAUCACUGGAAGACAGAGAAUAGCACCGGAUGUCUUAGAAGGGAUGCGUCAAUAUCUACUGGUUGCUAAUAUUGAUGAAAGAAGAGUGAGAGAAGAAAGAGUCAAAAAGUUUGUGGCACAGGCACAGGCUGAUCCAAUAGCAAAGAAAUCUAUGUUGAGCUUGGAGCCAAUUCCUAAAAUUACAAACAUUUUGGAUAAGCAGAAAGGAAUAGUGUUUGAUUAUGAGGACGUUUGUUCGGAGUCAUCUCCUGCAGUGAUGGAUUAUGGUGUUCAGACUCCCAAAUUGAUGGCCUCAGCAAUUAGUGCAGGUUCAAUGCAAACAGGAAGCAUAAUGGUAGAACCAAGGAAAUCUGUUAGUGCCUUGGCAAGACUUGGGGAGGUACCAAAUCUUUAUCAGUUUAGUUCUACGGUUAAAAGAGAUUGCCCGUUUGUAGCUUCUUCUUCCGGAACUAUAAUUGGUAAAGCUGGUAUUUUGAGGAGAAGGCCUACCAAAAAUAAAAGAAUUUUCAAGGCAAAGCAGGCUGAAUGAUUGUCUGGUAAUGGAGAGAAGCAGAAAGGGUUGGAGGUUGGAGUACUUAUAAAAAGGAAGUCUGAAGAAGGUCAUUUGGUUGCUUUAAAAGUCGUGAAGCGCGCAUCAAAUGAGGUGAUCCCGAAUGAGGGAUCGCCUGAAUUCCAAUGAGCCUGAUCAGCUAGAAUUGUCAAGGUAUUGGACGGUCUGAUAGCUUGACAAUUCCCCGUCUCGAGGAAAUGCGUAAAAAACACUUCUUUGAGAUGUUGUUCCUAAUGGAGACUUUAAAAUGUAGAAAUGAAACUGUAGAUAUUCAAGAAUGGUUGGAGUAUGAUAGGGUGUAUACAGUAGAACCAGUUGGUAGAAGUGGAGGGCUUGCGUUGUUUUGGAAAAGUUCUGUAAAUAUAGACUUCCUGGCUGUAAACAAAAACCUGUUGGAUAUGCAAGUUCAGUUUGCAGCCUUAAAUUUCUUCCUUUCUUGUGUAUACGGGGAACCUGUAGUAAAGUAUAGGGCUCAUCUUUGGGAGAAGAUUAGUCGAAUUGGAGUUGUGAGAAAGGAUAGAUGGUGCAUGUUGGGUGAUUUUAAUGAUAUUCUUCAUAAUGGAGAAAAGCUAAGAGGUCCUUGAAGAGAUGAUAGCGUUCUUCAACCUUUUGGAAAUAUGAUUAAUGCGUGUGAGAUAGAGGAACUGCCAAGUCAAGGUGACCCUUACACCUGGGGAGGAGUUCGUUAUAAUCAGUGGAUUCAAAGUAAACUCGAUAGGUGUUUUGGUAACAAGGAAUGGUUCAAGCAGUUUCCGGCUUCUAACCAGACUUUUAUGGAGUAAAGAGGAUCUGAUCAUAGACCAGUUUUGGUGAAACUAAUGAAUUCUCAGAUGGCUUACAAGGGUGGUCAAUUCAGGUUUGAUAUGCGGUUUUUGCUUAAGGAAAAUGUUAAGGAAGCAAUUAAAGCUGCGUGGAAACCUGGGGUGAGAAGCUUUAAUUUCUCUGUAUCAUAUAGGCUUAAGGCUGUGAGGAAAUCGCUCAGUAGAUGGAAGCAAAUAAAUAAUACUAAUUCAAAAGACAAGAUUCAGGUCUUAUAGGCAAAUCUUGAAUUAGAACAGUCUGCUCGGAUUCCAAACUUUUGGAAAAUCAAUGGCCUAAAAAGAGAGCUCAUAAAAGAAUACAGGGAAGAAGAACUUUAUUGGAGAGUCAGGUCUAAGGAUUUAUGGUUGAAAGGAGGUGAUCAAAACUCCAAAAUUUUUCCAUGCUUCUGUUAAAUUCCGACGUUCUAGGAAGCGACUAGAGAAAAUAUUGGAUGAGAAAGGGGUUUUUCAAUUCUCUGAGGCUGCUAAAGGUCUAGUCGCCACAGAAUAUUUCAACAAGUUGUUUAAAUCUUCUAAUUCAGCUUCCUUUCAAGGGUUUUUCCAGAAUUUUAAUCCGAAAGUGACAAGUGAAAUGAAUGCUCAUCUCUGUAAAGAAGUGACGAAUGAAGAAAUUAAGGAGGCUGUGUUUGCAGUGAAAGCUUCACGUGCACCUGGUCCUGAUGGGAUGCCAGGAUUGUUUUUUCAGCAUCAUUGGAAGACAAUUCAGAAUUAAUUAUCAGAAGAGGUUAAACAUUUUUUCGACAGUGGUUGUAUGCCGAAGGAAUGGAACUACACUCAUAUCUGCUUGCUUCCUAAAACGAAUCUUCCCACAGAAAUGUGCAAUCUGAGACCAAUCAGCUUGUGUUCGGUAAUGUAUAAGAUCAUUUACAAAAUUCUUGUGAGAAGAUUACAACCGUGUCUUCAGGCUUUGGUGGGAUAGACUCAAUCUGCUUUUGUAUCAGAAAGACUCAUUUCUGAUAAUAUCUUAAUUGCACAUGAAGUAGUUCAUGGGCUGAAGAACCAUCCUCAGGUUUUUAAGGAAUGCAUUGCUAUAAAAUCAGACAUGUCCAAAGCAUACGACAGAGUGGAAUGGGGAUAUCUGAGAGAGUUAUUAAAGGCUUUGGGAUCUGAUGAGAAAUGGAUUCUUUGGGUGAUGGCAUGUGUUACUUCGGUAACUUUUUAUGUGCUUAUCAAUGACCAGGCCCAUGGUAUGAUCAUUCCUCAGCGUGGGUUACGACAGGGAGAUCCUCUUUCUCCUUUUUUGUUUGUUCUAUGCACGGAAGGACUUUCUCACUUGUUGAAACAAGCAGAAUUAGAAGGCAAAGUUAAAGGGAUCAGUUUUAGUGAGGAAGGUCCUAUCAUCAGCCAUUUGCUAUUUGCUGAUGAUAGUUUGUUUCUGUGCAAAGCUGAUGAGGAACAAUGUAUCAAUUUAAAGGAUAUCCUGCGAAGGUAUGAAAGAGCUACUGGACAGGCCAUCAAUGUUGAAAAAUCUUCAAUUGCCUUUGGGAAGAAAGUGGCGAAAGAAAGGAUAAAGCAGAUUCAAGAGAUUUUCGGCAUUUAUAAAAAAGGAGGUACAAGAUCUUAUUUAGGCUUGCCGGAAUGUUUUCAAGGUUCUGUUGUUCAAAUCCUUAAUUUUAUUAAGGAUAAGAUGAAAGAUAAAAUGUCAUGAUGGUUUGCGAGGAUGUUGUCUCAAGGGGGCAAAGAUAUUUUGAUCAAAUCAGUGGCAUUAGCUAUGCCUAUCUAUGCCAUGAGUUGCUUUAAACUUCCUAAGACGACUUGUCAGAACUUGAACUCAGCCAUGUCUCAAUUUUGGUGGCAAUCUUUUGAGCAUGCAAGGAAGAUGAACUGGGUUAGUUGGGAGAAGUUGUGCUUGCCUAAAGACCUCGGUGGUUUAGGGUUUAAAGAUAUUGAGAGGUUUAAUCAAGCUCUUUUGGCCAAACAAGCUUGGAGAAUUCUUAACUGUCCGGACUCCCUUUUAGCAAGGUUGCUCAAAAGUAGAUAUUUUCAUGAUUCUGUCUUUCUUCGUGCUGAGACAGGGGUUAAACCAUCUCUUGGGUAGAAGAGUGUUCUUCAUGGAAGUGCUUUGUUAGAAAAAGGAAUUUCUCGGAGAAUUGGGGAUGGUCAUAAUUCAUUUGUAUGGACUGACCCUUGGAUGGAAGACAGUGAUGGUUCUAUGAGAGCUCCUUGGAGAAAGAAUUAUUUCUUUGAUGCGGUUUUAAAAGUCAAGGAUCUCAUCAAUGCUGAUGGCUCUAACUGGAACCGUAAAAAACUACAGGAGUUAUUCUAUCCUAAUGAUGUUAUUUAAAUCUUAAAGCAUCCUCCUGUUAGUGAUCGUCAUGAUUUCUGGAUUUGGAAAUUCAAUAAGAGUUUUCAGUGAAAUCGGCAUUGUGGUUGGCAAGCGAAUCUGCUAAUGAAGCUAUGAUGGAAGCUCGACUUCAACCUUCCUUAAAUCCUUUGAAAGAACAGGUUUGGAAGGUACCCUUUGAACCUAAGAUUAAAACUUUUCUUUGGAAGGUCUUGAGUUCAGCAUUACCAGUAGAUGAAGGGUUUAGAGGUAGAGGAAUGAAAUCAGAAGAAUUUUGUCAGAUGUGUGGGAAUCAUAAGGAGACAAUAAAUCAUGCAUGUCUUGUUCUCUUGUGAAAUUGCUAGGCAGAUCUGGGCUCUUUCUAAUGUUCCUCUGCCUUCUCAGGGGUUUGAUCCAGAUUCAGUUUAUGCAAAUAUGAACUUUCUUUUGAGGAUGAUUAAGCAUAGAAACAGGGAGUAUAAGACUCGGAGAGCAAUUCCGUGGUUGUUAUGGAAUAUUUGGAAAGCCAGAAACUCUUUCUUAUUUGAUGGCUUAAUUCCAAAUGCCUGCCAAGUGGUGGACAGGAGUUUUAAUGAAGCGGAUAACUGGUUUUGUGCUCAAGCGUUUGAUCUUCAAAAAGAGCACCAACUCAGAAAAAUGGAGAUUGAUCAAAGAUCACGUUGGGUGCCCCCUCCUCAUGGAUGGAAGAAAUGUAAUAUUGGUUUUUGUUGGUCAAAGAAGGACAAAAUAAUUGGUGCAGCGUGGGUUCUAAGAGAUGAAAAGGGGGCUGUGUUACUUCACAGUAGGAGACUUUUUGCGCAAAUGGAUAAUGUGGAUCAUGCGAAGCUUACGGUGUUGUUAUAGACUUUUGAUAGUCUAUCCUUUCACCGUGAAUCUAAAAUUGUUUUUGCGCUAUUAGAUAUAUCGCUUGUUGACUUGGUGAACUAUCCAAGAAGAUGGCCAGCCUUCUGUAGUCAAUCGACUGCUGUGCUCCAUACUCUGGACAAGAUAAAAGAAUGGAAAUUUGUUUUUGAACAUCAGCUAGCUAAUAGAGGAGCUUGUCUCAUCGCUCAAAGUGCUAUUCUGCCUUGGUUUAUGCAAUCUUAUGUAGCUCGUGGUUCUCCUCUUUGGUUGCUCGAGCUAUUUGACGAUGAGAAAUCAUUCGCCUCUGUUUAGCUAUGAUUUUUGGAGUUCUUUCUGGUUGUAUAGGGAGUGGGUUGUUAGUUGGUGGUUGUUUAUCUUCAACUGGUUCCCUAUGUAGGAAUUGGUUUGUUGUCUGUGCUUGUUAGUUUGAUGUAACGUUACUUCCUUCGAGUUUUAUUAAUAUCAUCAGUUGACUUAAAAAAAGGCCCAUAUCAACACGGUUAUUGUUUUCAAACUAAUACUUGAAUAAAUAUAUAAAUUCUGUUGAAUUAUAAAAACUAUUAAUAAUAUGUGUCUAUAUAUCAUCACAGAUGAUUAAUACUUUAACGUUUGAUUCUAUUAUUUUUAUUAUUCUAUUGCGUAUUUAACGAUUGUACUUUAGUAGUAUUCUCAGAUUAUCAGUGUUUUGAAAAGAUAGAUACAACACUGUUCAAUAAAAUAUACUAGCCCUUUAGAAAAAACAAUAAAUAUACAUACAUAAUAACUAAACCAUAACUAUUUCCAUUUCUAGCAUUUAUAUUAAAGAGUAUACUAAGUUGCUAUUAAAAGUUCAAAUAACAAAAAAUUUGAAAAUAUUUCAAGAAUACCAUAAUACUUGGUUAAGAUCUUUUGCAUCAUUUUUCCUUAAGCCAUCAGAAAGGUAGAGUUUGUUAAUGUUCAAAAAAAAGGUAAAGUUUGUGAUGUUAAUUGUUUUGGAUUCAAGUAAGAUUUAAAAUAAAAUAAUAUUUGUGAAUCACCAUAAAAUUCGAAUUUAAAUUAUGUUUAUGAAGGUUUUUGAAUUUCAAAAAUAUUUUGUAUAUUUUAUAAAACAAAAAAACGUAUCAAGAUAUUUUACUUUUAUUAUUAAAUAUUAUAUAUUAUUGUAUAGUUUGUCACAACAGUUUUAUUUUCAUUUCAAUGGGUUUUGUUUCAUCUAAUAUCUCAAAGUUUAGUAUUAUGUAUACUACAUACUAAAUUAUUGGCACAAUAAUCCUGAACAAAAUGGACAAAGUAGACAAUACCAUUUUAACUACUAAUUGAUGUUUAAUAAUAAUGUAUAAACUAAAAGAGAUUGUUACCUUCUUGACAGAGGUGUUCUUGAUGUAGAGGAACAGUGGGGAAGAAUAUGGAUCACUUUCUGUGGAAUAGUAAUAACAGAAAAAAAAGAGAUGUUAUUUACAGAUGAAAAAUAAAGUAUUUUAGUUAGUUUAAUAAAUUACAAAUACAUGCUAACUGAAAUAUUUGACGUACAACUAUAAAAAUAUCUAUACAAUAUCUAGCUCUUACUAUUUUAAUUAUUAUUUGAUGUUUUACCAAGUCUAAAAAUAAUUUAUAGUGGACACAUUAAUUUAAAUAUAAACUAAAGGAGAGUGUUAGUCCUUUGUAAACAAAAGAAAAAAAAGAAAAACUAGAGGAGAGUGUUACCUAUUUGAUAAUGGGGUCGUGAUUGUACUGAGAAAUGAAAACAGAUGUUGUUAUUUAUAGAUGAAAAAUAAAAAUAUUCAGUUAAUUUAAUAAAAUAGAAAAGCAAGUAUUGGGUUAGAAAAAGAAGCAAUCGCUGAUCAGCUCCAAACAAAAAAAAGCAAUCGCUGAUCAGCUCCAAAAACAGAGUGAACUGAAGGACAUGCAGAAGACCUGCAUUUAGGCAGAAAAAUACAAAAAAAAAACCUGUACGUAUGCACUUGUCCUGCUUUUUAAGUUUGCAGUAUAAAAAAUCGUGAUCGGCAAUUAAAUAUCUAAAGAAACAGUCGCAGAUGGUCUGUCUCUCUUCUGCUUCCCCAUUCACACUGAAAAAACAAGUAACCUUCAGUAGUUAGGUCCUUUGGGAUAUGACUCGAGUCGUUUUAGCAUCCAAAGUCAUGGAGCGUGCACUGAACACUAAGUGGGGAUGCUCCCUGCCUCCCUUCAGGGUUCCAAAGUCCAAACUCAACGGUCGCAACCAUUUCUAUGAUUCUAGUCAAACACGAGUUUGGGCCUAUAGACUGAAAUUUAUGACUUACGGGCUAUAACACAUGCAGUAUUAUGGGCUAUUCACUUGUGCGUAUAAUUCAUGUGUUUGGAUUGGCAUGUAAUUGAAAGGACCUAGGUCGAAGUCUAAACAAAUUAUGCGGCAUAUCCAUACAGUGUCGAUCACCUUCUUAGCUAAUCUACAUCUCUUCAUUUUAAUUGGGCUUUAUUUAUAACCUUGGGUCUCGUAUUGCGACCUUAAGUAUAAUUAUAUCAAAGAUGAAAGAUGGAUCACCCGAGUUAGUUGAAUAUUACAUUUUUAUAUACAGUGAGAUACGAAUCUGGUCCAUGACUUGAGUGUAUCAUAUAAAGGAAAAUGAGAAACAGUUAAAAAAAAAAAGGUUUUUUCAAAUGAUAAUGAUUUAGCUGAGGCUGCUUUCAAAAAAUGCAUUCUUUUCUUUCUCAAUUUAUAUUUUUGUUCUAGUAUUUAGAAUCAUAAUAGUAAUAAGAUGAUAGUGACUGUUAUUGUAGAAAAAGAUGUGUAACAAUUAUUAAAAGAUAAUCGAUGAGAAACCAUAUCACGAGUCAGGACCCAGAUAUCUUCUAUAUCUUUGGUUGCGAAAAGAAGAAGAAGAAGAAUUGCACUAUACAAUGGUCCCUGCUCAAACUGAGGUAAUUUUGUCAUUUUCAUCUUUUCUGUACGUGCGAUCCUUCACACAAUUUCUUAAUAUUUAUUAUUUUACCUGAUGGAUUUUACUACCCACGCAAAAUAAUUAUAGUUACGUAUCAAAUAAAAAAGUUUCAAAACAACUUCACUAUGAGUAUAUAUUUGACAAAUCUUAUGAAAAAUAUUAUUAUACGAAAUACUAUAUGUAUCAAACUACCAAAAUCAUAUUUAUUUGUCGAGCUGACUAAAACAUUCGGAUAUAUUUCUUACAAUAAUAUUUUUCAUUAUGUACUUAUAUGAAAGUAUUCUAACACCAGUUAGAAGAGCAAGUAAGGAAAAAAAGUUCGUUUAAUCAUAUACAUAAGCGGCUCUAUAUAUAAGACUUGACAAAGAAAAAAGAUAAACGUAAUAAAAUUGAAAGACCUCACACAAUGAUGGUAAUAGACUAUUUAGAAGGACGAUGACACGAAGAGACACACCGACUUUGUUAGGCCGAAUCAAAAGCGAGGAGAAAGUUCAUCGUCUCUCUUUCCUCUCUUUUUACUUGCUUUUCACAAUAACACACACAUAUUCACUCAUACACAUACGUAUAAAACUAUACAUGUAUAUGUGGUUUAAGGCUUGCAUCAUGGCUUGCGUUUACAAGUGUUUCGAGACACGAUAAUCCAUAGUCACUAAUCCACUACAGUGACUACUGUUUUCCCGAAAUUAUACGCGUAAUUGAAUUGUUGAUAUUCAACUGACUUUUAGUGGUGUAGAAUAGUCUUUUUUUUUCUUUCUUUAGGUAUAUUUAUACGCUUGUUAAAAAAAAAGGUAUAUUUAUACGCAAAUUCUUAUGGUAUAAUUCUCUAACAUAGUCCAUCUAUUUUGCCAAUGAUACGAAAAGACCCCAUAAUUCGUAAAUUAUCCGUUUUAAAAACUCGUAUAUUAUUAUUUUACUUAACCUGAUUAUUUCAUAAUAGUUAUUGAUGAUAGAUAUUCUUAAGAGUGGACUUUUGUUGUCAAAGGCUCAAUGAUUCGUCUCUUUACAGAGUCAAGAUCUCGACGUGAUUGACAGAAUAUUUACUUAUAUUCCUUUUAAUCAUGCAUUUUUAUCCUCCGAAAUAUUUUGAUUUUUCAUAUAAAUAACAAAUCAUUCCCAAUUCCGUUUUCCCCAAUAUGGUUCAGUUAUUCGCACCCGUUUACAUUUGAGGGUAAUAUUCGCGACGAGCUUUUAGAUUUAGAACAUAGGAAUAGUUGUCAACUUUUAAGAAAGGACAAAAAUAUCUGUUUUAAAAAAAUCAAAAAUCUCUGUUCUGAGAUGCUUCUUUUUUUAUCAAUAAGAAGUAUACAAAUAAAACCGAAUUUUCUAUGGAUUAUUCAAAAAAAAAGGAUUAUAAAGUUUAUCAAGCGUGGAACCUAUAUAAAAGUAUCACGAGUAUUAUAUGAAUAUGAUAGAUAGCCUUUAAUAAGCACACACUUAAUAGAUGAUAUACGGGUAGAAUAAACUUCGUUGGGCAAUAAUCCUACUUCUACAUAUGUAUGAUAACAUCCUAAAAUUCCUUUUGACAUUCUGCAAAAAAUUAAAGAAAACAAAAUUAAAAACCGGUACCCAUCCUGAGUUCCGAUAUUUUCGCAUGUAAUUUCAAGUAUAUAUUCUGAUUAACAUUGAUAAAACUAGUCCGUCAAUUUUGGUGGUUUUGUUAAAAUAUAAAGAAGGUGUGAUUGACGGGUCUUUUUGUGUGUCAAUAUUUAUUACCCGAAACUGAUAUUUGAAAUGGGGCUAUAACAAAUAAAGAAGCAUCAUCCACAAUUUGACUGUGCACAGUUAUAUUAAAAGAAAAGGACAAUAGAUAGAAAAAAUGACACGAAAAGCAACAUGUCUGGUUGGCUGGCCGUAGAGCCGGGGGGGUGACAAGAAAAAAAGGAUCAGACAAUCCUUCUAUCAUUCAUGAUUCAUCAAUUUGCGUGCCUCGGUUGCUAUACAAAAUGAUUGUCUAGAAACUAGAACUAUAUGCCACACAUCUAUGUAUAUAUAUAUACUACCCUCAAAUUAUACGUUAUUCUUUGUUCUAAGAACUAUAUGCAUACUUAAUUUCCCACUAGCUAUUUUAUCUGACUAACCAAGUCAGAAACUUAGGACAUGUUUUCCACGCUUUUAGACGAACGAUACGUAAUUUUUCGAUAUUGUUACAUGUUCGUUGUUGAUUUUUUUUUAUUUUCUUUUGUUCUUUCUAUACAUUACUAAUACUAAUACGUUGCUCUAACAAACAAACAAAAAUAAUUAGGUAUUAAAAUAAUAUAUAUAAAUACUUUAGCAACAUAUUCUGAUUAGAAUUGUUAAAAUACUCAAAUGGUAUCUUAUAUUUAUUUGAAUAUUUUUAAAUUCUCAAUUAAUUUGAAUUAGACAAAUUUAUUUAACUAUUAUUUUCUAAAAAUUUAAAUUCCAACAAAAUUAAUAAAAGCAGACCUACUAAUACAUAUCAUAUUAGAACUAUAUUUAUUAAAGAUUUGUUUGUCAUAUAACAAAGUUUAUAGAAAUAGAACCAAAUAAGGCUUUGAUUGGUAGAGAUUAUAACAAAGAAGUAGCAAGAUGAUACAUAAGUAGUAAUAAGUAGUAUGAUUUUAUAAAUGUUGUUAAUAAAGUGAUUAAUAGAGCAUUAAAUGAUUCAUAUUAUAAAAUUAUCUUAUAAAAUUAAUAUAAGAUAUAUAGUUUUCUUAUUUCUGAAUAAUAUAAUAAUGUAUGUAUAUUAAUUUUACAUUUUUAUUGAAAAUAACAAAUAUAUUUAAUUAUAUUUUAAAUGUGAAAUAGUUUUAUUUAAAAAAAAUUUAAUUUAUUUUUAAAGUAAUUUUAAAUUUUAGUUCAAAAUAAUCUUAAUUUUAUUUAAAUGCUAUUUUACUGGUUUUCAAAAAUUGUUAGUUGGAUAAGAAGAAGCAUAAUAGUUAUGCUAAUGAUCUGCCAAUCACACUAUAAAUCAAAUCAUAUUUUUCAAACUAAUUUAACUAAUACCAGAAUUGCUCCUAAAUAUCACGUAUGCUUCUUCACUUUUUCCCUAAUCUAAAUAAACAAAAAAAAAAUUACGGCCGUAAUGCGGGGGCUGAAUCGGAAGUAAAUUUUUCAUUAUACAACAAAUCAUUGAAGGGACCCACAUGUCGGACUGACACGUGUCGAACCUAACAAACAAUUGUACUGUUUUCGAGUUUCGUAAUUGGUCUUUGUUUCUUUCUUUCACAUCUAUGGAUAAGUCUGUGAAGGAUCGCAUGAUGGAUGGUGCCCAAGUGCUAAUGACAUGAGAACCACCACUUUAAUUUCUUUACUAAUCUUUACCUACACUUUUAUUCCAAUUUUCUUAUUAAUACAUUUUUUUUUGUAUUUGUUGUCAACAAAGUAUAUUAUACAUUUUUAUUUGUUAAUCUUGUGGUUGUCGAUGAGGUUCGUGCUGUUUUAUUUUGUCGUUGAGAUUUGAUUAGUCCAAACCUAUUAUCUCAAUUGUAUUCCAAUCAUCUAAACCCAUCCGAAAAGGUAUUACAUAUUGGGGUCACACCGUCGUUUAAAUAACUUUUUAGUAUGCAUCUUUUCUAAUAAUAUGAUUUUUUUUUUUACCCUUUUGUCUUUAUUCUCUCCCUCUUUUCACAUUCUUUUUAUUGGUUUAGUUUCCCCCCACCCUUUUGCAUAAGUCAAUGUCAUCUAUAUUCCUGCCAAUAUUUUAAACUUAAUACAGACAAAUUACUGCAUUUUAAAUAAAGGAAAUCUACAUUACUUCUAAAAUUUCUUCUAUGAAUAUGCAUAUCCAGCUACCAUGUAUUAGUAUAUCUGAAAAUUUUAAACAUAAUUUGUCUUGAUCAAAAUAAUAAAAUUUUCUUCCCGAAAUCUAAAAUUUUGAAGAAUAUAAUCUAGGAUUUAGAAAAACGUAUUUAUUUAGUGACAAGUUUCUUGUACUUGAAAUUUAAAAUCAAUUAGCGGUAAGUGGAUUGACCAAAUUCACUUAUAUAUUACUUAAGUAUUUUUCGUGAGAUCUUAUCUCAAACAUCCUCUCUCGAUAUAGUGGUGUGUAUAAUCAUUAAUCUCGUAGAAUUUAUCAUGCAUUCUCGAGACAAUACUUUAUUUUUCUAAUAAGUUAUGUGGAAAUGAGCUUUUUAUAGGCCAUCAGCUAGUGGAAUGAUCAUGCUUCUUUCCGGGCUGGAUUAGUGGGUCAAGGUACGAACCCGCUUUGAUAACAUGAUAAGUUUCGUGAACUUCCAACUUAAAAUCAAUUGACGGAAAGUGAAUUGACCUAAAUCACUUAUAUAUUACUUAAAUCUUUUUUAUAUUUUUGAUGUUAGAUCUUAUCUCCAGGAUCUAGCAAGAUUAGCAAUCAACGCUAUCUUUUGUUCUAGUUAGGAAAAAAGAGUAAAAUGUUAUCUUUGAAUGUGACCUUAUCAUAUUUUUACCUUUUGUCGUGUAAUGUGAUUGUGUUUUAGAUGACUAGCUAUGCGUCAUGGAACAACCCCUAUAAGAAAAAGCGAUAACAUUUUUAAAUUCUGGAAAAAAUAAAACAAAAACACAAAUAAUCAAAUGACGUAUGGUUAUUGCGAGAUCGGCCCUAGAUCAUUAUAUUAGAUUAUCGGGUCAAUUCGAUUACUAGUUCGUCUUUUCGAUCGUCUUUGCUUUGAAAAAUGUAGAUAUUGUGUGCGUCUUUGUUGAUAAAAUAAAUAUUGGAUCCUUCUAAUCAUGAGUCAUGAUUUUUUCAAUGUCGACGCCUUGAGUCUUAAAUACAACACUCGGACUAAUUAAUUAUUAAAUACUAAUCUCUGAUACAGCUGCCGACGUGUUAGUGAGUUUACCCUACCUUUCCCCUUAGACUGGUCUGGCCGUCGGGGACCGAUACCACGAGAAGCAAUACUAUUUUUUAUAAUAAUUUUUAUAGUACGUAUUAUUUUAUUCAUUUGUAUGCAAUAUAAAUUAUAUUCGGCCCUUUAUAUCAACCAUUUCUCAGCAUAUUCUAAAGCUUCAAUUAUUUUGUUUUUUUUUUACUGAACGACAAAACUGACCCUGUGGAUAAGCCAUGAUUUCGUUAGGUCAAAAGACAUCAUCAAAAUGAUAUUAAACAUAUUAACGAAUUUCAAGAAACUGCAAUUCUAGUUUCUAAUGGUUUACAUAAUUGAUAAUCCACAAAGGGAUAAAAGGCGAUGGUGGAGAGAAAUUAACCAACAAAAGCGUAUCUAACCGAAUUGUGAUUUUAUCCUGUUUUCCUUCGCGGUCACACAUAUUAAUUGUACAUUAUGGGUGACCUAACUUCACAUUUUUAGUGCUACAAAACAAAUAAAAACCAAAGCCAAAUAACCGUUCCACGUCAACCUCCUUCAAUCUUUGAUUAAUUCUGAUUGUCGAAUCAUAUUCCACCACCACCAUUAUUAUCAAUUUUCUCCCUAAUUCCACCGCUUCUCUUUAUUCAUCUAUAUUAGCUUAACUGGGUGUCUUGCACUGCAAGUAUUUGAACAAAAUUAAUCUUAUAAGCUAGAUGAAAAACGUCAAGUAAAAAUCUUUUUUUUUUUGUUCAAAACGUCAAGUAAAAAUCUAUCUGUAGCUUUAACUAUUAAUUUACCGAUAGAAUAACCAUCUCGCUGAUUGAUUAUAGGGUCACUUGAUUAUACAAAAUGUCCAUUUUAUAUUUAUCAACUACAAAAAAUUCUUCCUAUAAAGUGUUAUAUUGUUUCAAAAUACGAGGAUAUGUAUAUUAAACCAAGCCUCGGUUUCUCUUAGAUAACUCUACUGUCUACAAAGACGUGUAAAGAUAGAGAUGACGAAAAAGAUGGAGACGAUGUCUUUAUGGAUAUAAUAAAACAACGCAUGAUAGGUUUUAUUCCACGAACUAUUUGUCUGUUCAAAAUAAUGGUUUUGGAAUGGCAUAAUAACAGCAUAUUAUUUUUAAACACGAUAUGGGCAUAAAAAAAGGUAGAAAUCAUUGGAUAAUUAAGUCCCAACACAAUUUGGCCAGAUCAAGAGAACCAAACCUGAAACAAGAUAGUGGAGAUCACAAUCCAAAAUCCAAACUACAUAUUACAAAAAUUAGAAGAAACUAAAAAUAAAUUAAAAGGCCAAUGUGUAAUGUGAGGACGUUGAAGAUUGGUAGGCAAUCUGACAUGUUACCCACAUCUGCCUUCUUCAAGCAAAGCAUUGAGUGGGAGACAAUUAAUGUGGUCUCUUAUUUAAAUUCCCUCUUAAGUCACUCUUCUAAUCACUCAUGUCUCCAUGUAUACGUGUGUUAUCUUUUGUCUCCAUGGCAUGUAUUCUUUUUGUUUAGUAGUUUCACACUUAGUUUCAUUUUUUUCAUAAAAACAAUAUAUGUGAUUUUAGAAUGUAAAAGCAGACAAUUUAUAUAUGCAUAACUUAAUAAGUGAUUUUUAAAUAUAAAGCAAUACUCAUUAUAGGAAUUAAAAUAUGAGACAAUUAAUUGUAUCAAUGGUUCGGUGGUAUAUUACGUGAAUAUAUGCACUCAAAUAAAUAAUUCAAAUAUAAUUUAUCAGAGAACACUGAAUCUUUGAAAAGAAUGUGUAUCGAUUAUUGAAGGUGGGGAUGGGAGAUAGAGGUUCCAUGUGCAAGUAGUUGCAUUAUCGAAUGUAUUAGAAUUUGUAGAUAUUCAGGGUAACAAAUCAAAUCUACUCUAUAAACAAUGUGUAAUCGCAGCAGUAGUAGUAAUAAUAAUAAUAAUAAUAAUAAUAAUAAUAAUAAUAAUAAUAAUAAUAAUAAUAAUAAUAAUAAUAAUAAGUUAUUUGGAUAUGCAGAAAUCCAUGUCUUGUAUCUUUUUUCUUUCCUUUAUUAUUAGGUUUUUAUUUUUCUGAAAAUUUCAUGUCAAAUACUAACAUAUUUGUAAAUGACCUCCCUAUUAGAAAGGGAGGAGAUGGAAAUGAAUAAUACUUCCUCUGUUUUUGUAAUGAAUGUUUAAAUGUAUCAUUUUUAUAUUUACUAAUUUUUUAUAGUUUUGAACUAGAAGUAUUUUAAAUUUUUUUUUUCAAAAUUACAAUCCGCUAUUAUUAACUAAUCAAAAUUGUAAAAAAUAAAACAUACAUCUUAAAAAAACAAAUUCUAUUUCAAUUUUUUAAAUAAUAAUGAGAUUUAUGAGAAUCGAGAGGAUUGGACAGAUAAAUCAAAAGUUUUGGAGAGGCUAUAAUUACACAUAUAUAUAUUUUUGUCAGCUGUCUAUCUAUGCUAGAUCAAUUGGUGGUCAGACGAACCGAUUCUUAGAGCACUUCCGUGUGGCCGGAUCUGAUCUAUAUGGGAAACAUCUAUAUAUAUAUAUAUAUAUAUAUAUAUAUAUAUAUAUAUAUAUAUAUGUCAUGUGAAUAAUAUACUCUGAAAGUCAAUAUACACAAUCAUCUGAAAUUUUCCUGUUAAAAUGAUAGAUAUCUUCAAAGCACGUUGGUAUGAAAAUAUGAUAUAUUUAAACAUUUUUACCAAAGAAAAAAAAAUAUGACAAAAGGAUGUAUGCCUUCUGUUCCUUAUAGAUCUAUUUUUUAGAAUUUUUUUUUUCAAAAAAAUAUAUUUUUUACAUUUUCAAGAUAUUAGUUAAUGAAAAAUUGUACUUUAAAAAAAAUACAAUUGUGUUUAAUAAAAUCUCAUUAGUUAAAAAUUAUUGGAAAUAGUUAAUUAAGAAAAACAAUGUAUUAAAAAAUAUAAUGUUAAAUAUUUUUUAGUAAGUUUGAAAAAAACUAUAAUAUGAAUUUUUUAGGAACGGAUGGAGUAAUAUUGAAUACGAUAAAUAUCAGUAUAUGAAUUUAUGAAGUGGGAAGAAUAGUUGCAAGUGGGGUGCUCAUUCGGUCAACCUUUGUAACUGAGAAAAUAAAAAGGCGAGUGUGGCAUCACAAUUUGAUUAAUUAACCACAUUUAUUUUUGAAAGAUACAAAAUAAUCCUACGCAAAAAUAAACUCGUUCAUUUGAUUAAUUCUAAUUAUUUAGCCACCCCACCCACCCACCCAUAAAAAAAUAAUACAAAAAACCAAAAAAAAAGUCUGUUCUCCUUCUUAAGAAGAAGCCGCUUCGUUUCAUUUCGUCCCAAUUAUCUUCCAAACUUCACCAAAAGCAUUUCUUAACAAACAAAAACUUUUCUUCUUAUCGUUAUUACCUCUCAAGUUUUUGUAGCUUUUAUUAUAAUAAUAGAUUCGAAGAUCGUCUUUGUUUUCUUCAGAUGGGUCUUGAUGAUUCAUGCAACACGGGUCUUGUUCUUGGUUUAGGCCUCUCAAUAACUCCUAAUAUUUACAAUCCUGCCAUCAAGAAAACUUCCACAACCGUGGAUCACCAUCUCGAUCCGUCGUUGACUCUAAGCCUCUCCGGUGAGAGCUACAUGACCAAGACGGUUGAUAUGACCGUUGCCGGAGCUGGAAGCCAAGUUUGUCGGCAGACUUCGUCUCAUAGCGGAAUCUCAUCUUUCUCGAGCGGAAGGGUAAAGAGAGAAAGAGAUAUCUGCGGCGAAGAAGAGGCCGGGGAGACGACGGAGAGAGUGGUGUGUUCGAGAGUGAGUGAUGAUCAUGAAGACGAAGAAGGUGUUAGUGCUCGUAAAAAGCUUAGACUCACUAAACAACAAUCCGCUCUUCUUGAAGAUAGCUUUAAACUUCACAGCACUCUUAAUCCCGUAUGAUAUAGUUAAUUAUUUCCUUGGUUAAUUUGUUCUUAUUUUACGUUGAACAUAUCCUAAUUAAUAUUUUUAAAAUAUUCGCAGAAGCAAAAACAAGCUCUUGCGAGACAGCUGAAUCUAAGGCCUCGGCAAGUUGAAGUGUGGUUCCAAAACAGGAGAGCUAGGUAAAUUAAAUUAACUAAAUUUAAAGAAUUUUUUGGUCCAUGUAUAUUACAUAUUGUUCUUUUUUUUUUUUAUAAACUACAUUAUUCUUAUAUGGCUCUUUUUUUUUUAAUUGGGCAGGACAAAACUAAAGCAAACAGAAGUGGAUUGUGAGUUUUUGAAGAAAUGUUGUGAGACUUUAACGGAUGAGAAUAGAAGGCUUCAAAAAGAGCUUCAGGAUCUUAAGGCUUUAAAGAUGUCUCAACCUUUCUACAUGCAUAUGCCGGCAGCGACUUUGACGAUGUGCCCUUCUUGUGAGAGACUCGGCGGUGGUGGUGGUGGUGCUGCAGGAGGCGGCGGAGGUACGGCAGAGGUUAAUGGAGGGACAGCGAAAGGAGCUUUCUCCGUCGUCACAAAGCCUCGCUUCUUCAACCCUCUCACUAGUCCUUCUACAGCUUGUUAAUUACUUAUUAAUUAAUUUGUGCUUCCACGUCAAAUUAGUGAUUAGCUAGAAGGUAAUCCGGAAAAGUCUUUGAGUUAAAAAUUGGGGAAUGGUCUUUAUAGAUAAGACUCUUCAACGAUCCCACUUUAUUUUUCGGUGGGAUUGUUGGUUGAUGAAGAAAAAUAUAGUUUCGAAUUAUAGUUUUCAUUUUGUAGAGAAAAAUAAGAAGGCAAUAGUACUUACUGAUCCAUCUUCUUUUGUUAUUUUCUUCAAAUAUAUUAGUACUAUAAUAUAGUUUUGCUUGUAUAAUUAAAUAUCAUAUAAUUUGUACAACUUUCAUUGAUUUAUUGCGUCUUACCAAAUGAUUGUUUUGUUCACUUGAAUAUAAAACUGGUUUAUUAUAUUUCUUAUUGUAAGCAUUUAAUCAGAUAUAGGUUAUAAUUUUGGUUUACACUUUAAAACGACGUAAACUACAAAACAUAUCGCUUGCUCCUUCCUUUCAAGGUUUUCUAAGCGUUCUUAGAUUGGUUCUAUUAACGGGAAGAUCGGGUAUAUAUUGUAAGUAUCCUCUAAGAUUUUAUGAUUACUAAGUUUCUAAAGUUCCAUUAUUCUUGACUAGUCGUUCAUCGAAAUGAGACACUGGUGCCAAUUAGUUUUGUUUUCGACCGUAGAAACCAAGAAUGAAAAUAUAUUUAAUUGGUAAAAAUCCCACCAAGAAAUAACACCAUAAUUUAUAACGAAAUAGAUGGAUCGAGAAACUGAGAACUUACAGAGGGUAGCAAAAAAAAAAGAAGUUGAAGAUUUGUAAUCCGGUUAGCCAAACUAUUCCAGCAAAUCAAUAUAUUAUUUAUAAUAUAAACCGAAAUCUUGUUUUUAUGUCGGAAAAAUCGUAUCUUGUUUUUAAAUUAAACAAUUAUAAAAAUUUAGCUCCAGAUAAAAUGAUUUUAUUUUAGAUUAUUCAACGCAAGAAAAUUGGAAAAUCAUUUGAUGGGUGUGAAUGAUUUUAAGUGAGGGAGAUAAAGGGUGUGGGGCUAAGAGGUUAGCUCACGUGUAUUGAUACAUCUCCUUAAACUCAGACCUUUUUUACUUAUCCAUCAAUAAUAACAAUAAUAAUAAUUUAUAACAGAAAUCUUAAACAAUACUACUAUGAUACUGACAAAUUAGAAAAGCCAAUAGCUUAAUACGUACACAAUGCUGAAAACUUGUUCACAUAUGUAAUCGGAUAUUAUCCAAAAACUACAACAACAAAAAGAAAAUACCAGACUCGAAUCACAACGCUUAAUAGCAAAGAAAAGAAGUGUACAGAUUAUUUCAUGAAAAUAAUUGGGAAUAAAUAAUUCAUUAUAAUAUGAAAGAAAUGUUCUUGAAAAUUUGAAGUAGCGAGAUGCAGAUUAUUUCAUGAAAAUAAUUGGGAAUAAAUAAUUCAUUAUAAAUAUGAAAGAAACGUUCUUGAAAAUUUGAAGUAGUGAGAUGCUCUGUCUUUACAAAAAAAAAAAAUAAGGGGUAAGGUGGGACAUGCUUCACGUGAUUUUCUCUUCAUUUUUCUUCUCAUGACCAUGUUACAUAUAUGUGGGAUUAAUUAUAUGACUUUUCAUACUUCAUACCUAUAUCUGUGGACCAAAAAAACAGUAUACAUACAUUUAUUACACGUAUACUCAUUUUUGUUUAAUAAAUACACGAAAGUGAGACAUAUUUACUAACAUAUACAUAUAUGAAAAUGACGCGAGAGAUAUUCAUAAUGUAAUUAAUUACUUGAUGCAUGAACUCACAUAUAUUACUUGAUGCAUGAACUCACAUAUAUUCACUGAUAUACGAUUCAUGAAUCUUCCAAUUUCAAACGUACGUACACAAGAUGCAGUUUACUAAGCUCAUAAUUCAUACCAUAAUGGGCGGACUAUUUUAGCAAACAAAUAGACUCAAAAAAGAAUACCAAUCUUUAAAAUUCAAACAAAGAGGUACUUUAUUACAUACAUCUUGUUGUAACUAACAGUAUACAUUGGUUGAAUAUACAUUGGUUGUCUAAAAAGAGGUCCAAGUCGAAAGAGACGUGGUUGAUAUCGAUCUGCACAAGUGAUAUGGAUUGUAUGUUUUUAUGAUUUCACCGGAAGUAAUACUUCUGUUAUUUGGAAAAGAAGGGUGUAAAAUUAUUUUUAUUUCUUUUGUUCGUGUAUCGAAAUUAAUAGUAGAAUGCUUUCGUAUAAAAAUGGAAUAAAGGGAUUAUAACAUGCGUGAUGAACUGAUGAUGGCAGAUGAGAUGACGAGAGAGUCCACAUGAAAAUCAUAAGAUUGGUGACCCUGAAAUUAAUGUGGUGGACCAUUUAAUGAUGAGACGACUUUCCGGGGAAAUCGAUGACCUUCUUGGAAGCUCAAAUGUCAUUCUUCUUUUUUGUGCAACCUAAAAUCUGAGAGCAUCUGCAUUAGUGAACUCCAUGGGGAGUUCACACAGUUUUCAAAAAAAAAAAAAAUAUUAAAAUAAACAAAAGCAAUGAACCUGCCUCUAAGAAGUUCACUGCACUGAACCCGGAUCAUCACUGUAGCGCGGGCCCCACGACACGUGGCGGUCCACGAUUGGUCCGGUUCUAAUUUUUUUUUUUUUUUAGAAAAACAAAAAUCAAACAGAAAAAAAAUAAUAAUAAAAAAAUGCUUUGUAAACUCCUUGGAAGGGAUUCACUAAUGCUGAUGCUCUCAUUCGUUCUCUUUAAUUUACUACUUUCUCAUUAUCCCUUUAACAAUGAUUAAAUUUUACCAUAAAAACAUUUUAAUCCAAAUCUGAUUUUACUAUAUGGUACUUUUCUCGUAUAUAUUUUUCCCCUCUCAAUAUUUUUUUAUUAAAGUUCUAAAUCUAAAAGUUGGUACAUGACAAAAUCCAGUCUAUUUUAAAUGAAUUCUCUUAGAAAACGUAUUUAGGUGCACGGAAAUUGAAUUCAUAACUUUGAUUUUUUAUUGGGUAAUCUACUAAUUUUGCCGAAUAAGCUAACUUUUCGCUGGUCAAUAUUUUUUUUAAUAAGUGACAUGAGCUACUUUUUUCUAUAAAAUGAUUUAACUAAUGAUUAUGUAUAUUUUUACCCAUUUGAACAUUUUAUAUUAUAGUUUAUUAAUACACUAUAACAAGAACAUUUCAAAUACAAGUUUAUUUAAAAUUUAAAUUGAAGUUAUUAAUUUAUGUGAAAAAAUAGGAUUUGAAAUAUUUGUGAAAUGAAGACUAUAAUCAAAAGAAAUAUGUGGUCAUUGGGGAUAUGCCCCAAGUUAAAAAAAAAUCAAGCAAAUACAAAAGAUUUAAUAUUAGACGGGGCAGAUUGGGAUGAGUAGUGACCAGUAUUAAAUCUGCCGAAAUCAAUUAAUUAUAUACAGGACAUGUUUUUGAUGUCAAAAAUAAAUAUAGAGGACAUGUGUUUUUUUUUGUGAUAUGAGUGUAUAUUAAGAUUAGCAUUGCAUGGUAUUAAUAUUAUACUUGUGUGCUACUGACUAGUUAUUUGGGGUUGGUUUCCUUCUUUUAAUGAUUGACUAGGAUCAAACCCGCCCUACGGACGGGUAAACAAAUAUAAAACUAUUAAAUUUAUAUUGACUGGUAAGAUAUAUUUAAAUAUAUUUAGUUUAUUCUAUGUUGAAAAAUUUAACAAAAUUUAUUUUUGUUUCAAAUAAUAAGAUGGUUUAAUUUUACAAAAUUAUGAUGCCAAUGCAAUUAUGUUCAAUUUAAUUUACUCGAAAUUAUAACAGAACUAUUCAUGAAUUGACUAUUUUCACCUUUUUAUGAACUGUUCUUAUUUAUUCUUAAAAUUAGUUUUUUUUGUAUUACAUUGUAUAUUUUGGAUUACAUUAUAUAUAUAUAUAUUGUGUAUUUGUCUGACAUGCAACUGUAUUUUUCACCUAAAGUAACGUAGAAAAGUAAUUAAACAAAUGGUUUAACAUAUGAACUUCAUCUAUAUAUAAAUAUAUAUAUAUAUAUAUAUAUUUUUUUUUUGGGUAAAAAUGUAAAGAUUAGAAAUUAUAUUUCAUAUUAGCUAUGCUAUUUUCUUGGAACGCAUAUUAUUAUCUAUGCAUACUUCUCAAUUUUGAUGGUUAAUUCCAACUUUUACAAACAAAACCAAGACUACGAACGGAACACACGAAACAAUCUUAUAUUGGAAGUCAUAUAUUUGAAGUUAGUUGGUCGAUCCAACAUUAGAGCCAUUGUUUUUGUAAUCCUUUUUUUCCUUAUCUUAUUGUUAAGGUUGGUAAAUUUUGGUUCGGAGUACAUUUGUGAGUGAGUAACAUUAUCAUAUACUCAGACAGUUAUUAUCAGAAGUGUUCUAAGAGGUGUUCCCUUCUUCUAUUUUAUAACUUACAAUUUUGUUUUCUUUCGAAUUCUGGUUUUUUUGUUCAGAAAAAAUAAAAGUGGCUGCUGAGACCAUUUUAUAGUUUUAGUCCAUGUUUUAGCUAUUGGCUUAUAAGCAGAACAUAGCUUUUUUCUCUAAUCAUAUUAAUAUUCUUUAAUCAUAUUAACUCUGGUCACACAAAUGGAACAAAUAAAUUGUAGAGCUUCAGCUAAGGUUACAGAUGAGCUGAUUUAAUUUGCCUCCGGAUUCAUUCUUUGUAUCACCGUGAGACCAUUUCAGCCUGUAGACCUCAGAUUUAUGUCCCACGGGCUUGCUGUUCUCGGCUCGAAUAUUGUGUUAAAGGAAGUUUAUGCCUCUAUAGGCCCUGGUGAUAAGAUCCUUGACCUUCUUUUGUUUCGACUUUCUUGCACUGUGUUCCGUCCUAAACCUGCAAGUUAUAUAUGUGGAAUACUCCUUUCAUAGAAGAAGCAAAAAAGAUACGGGUUGCAAUUUUAACAGUAAAACCAAAAAACAAUUUUAUAUGAUGCUUUCAUUGAAUACCUUUCACAACUUCUGCCUUCAGAGUAAGCCCGUGGAACUAUUUGCUUCCAUCAGCUGCAAGCGCAUCUUGAGAUGGAGGGGAACACAGAGAAAUAAUAGAAAGACAAUACAUACCAAACUAUACACAGUAGUGUCUGGAAAAUUAGAAAUGUACAUCCUAACUUGAGAGUUUAAUCAUAAGUCGUACCUCCAUGAUAUAUCAAUGUUGAGUAGUUCCUUUGAAUCUAUCUCUUUCUCUUUUGUUCCAAGACUUGAUAAUGUUAUUACUUAUUGCUGAUCGUCUUGCUAAAUCAGCAUGUAAUCUCUACUCUGUACCCACCAUCGGGUGUUGAACUCUAUCUUUCUAGCUUAAUUUAAUCAAAGGUUUGAUAAAAAAAAAUCAUAAAUCGUACAUGUAAAGAGGAUGAUGACGUUUUUUCUUAGUGGUUUAACUCACCUAAUCAAAAAAAUUAGCUAGUGGUGAUCUAAUAUGCGUGAGAGAAGUGAAACUGAAUCCCGAAAACACAGUAUCUUGGUGGCAUUGGGGAGGCCAUGUCAUGUGAGUCUUCAAAACCUGCAUCAAGUAUUUAUGAAUUAUGAUGAAGAGGUGGAACGCUCUACAAAAUACAUAAACUUAAGUAUGAUACAGAGGAAAUGAAAGAAACUAACCUUAUCCAACAGUUUCAAUACUUUCUCCUUAGUUUUUUCUUGCGUUGGUGUGAGUUCUCCCGUGUAUGUUUGCCACUUGAUUUCUUCAACACCCUCCUUCACGUUUAUGCAGUUUAAGAGAUAAAUUAAUUCAAAAUUUAAGAAGAUUAAUUUUACAAAAAGUCUCAGUAACACUUACAAUACAAAAGUAAUCAUUACAUCUGCUUCAUCAAUAGCAUUUUUCCCAAUGCCCCAAAACCAUAAUCCCUUUAUGGUUUCUGUCUUGCUCUCCGAAGUAAAGAUUCUCAUUCAGAUCCAUCAUCCAUGUGUUCUUCUUAUCUGAGCUACAAAAAAGAGGCCUUUCAUUCAUAAAGUACACAAUUUUCUUAUGUAUAGAACCAAAAAGAGUAGAGAGCUGAGCAACAUUACCAACGUCAUCGAGGGUAGAAGGUAACACCAACCUCUCCCAAGUUCUCCGUUCAAGAACAAAUUUUAAAGUUGAGAUGCUUUACUUCGGAGAGAUCGGAAAAACCAUCGAAUCAAGGACCACCGCGUUUGACGUUUCGAACUUCCCAGAAUCAGAGCAAACACACCUCGACAUAGGAAGAACAGCUGCUGGUGUUUAAAACACCAAGAAGAACAACUGAAUUAGCCAUUAUACUGCAAAUAUUAUGUUUAUUGAGGAUUUUAAUGAACUGAGUGGAACGAUGUUCUAGGGAUGUAAGAGUACCUUUGUAAUGAGGGUGUAUAGGUAACGUAACGUUUCCAAAUUUUGGUCGCCAGAGAGAUGAAGGGAAUGAAGAACUCUGAAGACAAUUAGAUCGAGUGUCUUCCACACUUAGAUCAGCCAUUCUCAAGCUCUUCACGGGAUUUGGAUCGUCGCUUUGAUGAAGGACAAAUCACAGAUUGGCUGCCGCAGUUUGAGAUAUUCUGCAAUUGGAAGUGAGAUCGACGACUUUUGGAAGCUAGGAGACACUGUGGCUUCUGGUCGCGAGUUUAGGAGGCCGCGGCGGUGAAACGAUCACGCGGGCUCACGCCGCGAAAGAAGCUUGGUCACGACAAUGGAGGGAGGCAAUCGCGGUUAGACCACCAAAGAUCAUUUGGAGCCGCGACCGAGAUGACCUGAAGAGUCGCGAGAUGUUUCGAGGUCGCGGAGACGAUGAACUUUUGCAGUAUUGUGAUGGUCCUGUUGGGCUGCAAAAAAAAAAGCACAUCAGAAUAAAUAUUAAAUAUUAAAUGAAAUGAUGAGUUUUGUGUUUGUGAGUUUAGAUAUAUCAUCUGACGUGUCAAAACGAAAUAUUGUGAUUGGAGGAAUAUUUUUAGUGACGUGGACAGCUUAGAAUUUCAGGAUAUCUGGCUUUUAGUAUUGUAAUAAUGAUAGAUUUGCUUUACGGUCCACGUACGAACGUAAUUAGUGUAUUAAGAACAACAAAAGACAUGUGUCGAUUGCUGGUUAAUUUGCCGGUUUGUCGAUAUCAUGUUCCCCACUUUUCAUUUUUAAAACAUACUGCUAUUUUUUAAUCACUAAAAAUAAAUCAUAUUUUUGAUAUCUAAAAUGAUAAUUCGUUUGCAAAAAUUGAUAUUGCAACAAAGAUAAGUUACUUUUUUUUUUGAACUUUAACAAAAAAACAAACAAAAGUUCGCAUAACAAACCUUCUCGUCAUACAUAGAUAACCUUUAUACGCGUUAUCAAAAUAAUAGUGUAAAGUUCAAAAAAAAAAUAUAAUAGUGUAUAUGUUUGCUUUUGUACUUUCUACUUUAAUUAAUCAAAUAUUUAAUUUAAUUUUGUUUACAAUCUAGCAGUACAUGAGCUGCUAAUGGUGGGCUUAGUUUUAUAUUUCUUUCAUCUCAAAUUAAAUGUUGUUGAGAGUUUUCACACACGAAUAAGAAGUUUGGUUGUGUAAUAUAGUUCUUAUAAAUAUAACACAAAUUUGUGUCAUAGUUUAAAUAAUCUGUAUUAAGAUAUAUAAAUUUAUAUAAAACAAGAAUAAAAUGCUAACACAACAGUAUAUGAUAUAGUACUAUUUAAAAGAUGGCUUAAUUAUAUGAGAAAUUAUUGGGUUCACCCACUAGGUGAAUUUAUAGGUUCACCAACCAAUGAAAAUUGAUUAUUUUAUAUACAGAUUAUUUUAAAAAAUGAAACAAAAUAUUUAGAAUUUAUUAUUUAAAAUAAAAGUAUAGAAAAUAAAUAAAAAAGUAUAAUAACAAUGAAAAAUGAUUUUUUAACCGUUCAUACUAAACACUAAACCCUAAACCCUAAACAUGAAACUCUAAACCCUUAGGUAAAUACUAAACCCUAAACUCUUGGAUAAAUCCCAAAUCCAUAGAUAGACUCAUAACCCUUGGAAUAUCUCUUUACCAAAGGGUUUAGCGUUUAAUAUAUAGGAUUUAAAGUUUAGGUUUUAGGGUUUAGUAUGAACGACUUUUACAAUAUUAAAAAAUUCUUGUUUUACAGCUGCUACUAUUUUUUAUUUUUUUAUUUUUUUUUACCCGAGGGUUUAGGGUUUAUCCAAGGGUUUAGGGUUUCGUGUUUAGGAUUUAGGGUAUAAGGUUUAUUAUGAACGACUUUAAAAAUGUUAAAAAAAUUGUUUCUUAUUGCUAUUACAUUUUUUUAUCUACUUUUUAUCCUUUUAUUUUAAAAAAUAAAUUUUAAAUAUUCUGUUUCUUUUAAAAAAAAAAUCUGUAUACAAAAUAAUCAAUUCUCAUUGGUUGGUGAACCUAUAGGUUCACCGGUUCACCGGUUCACCUAGGGGGUGAACCCAAGAAUUUCUCUAAUUAUAUACCCUGAAUAAGAGGCUUAAAGCUUUUAAGCCAAUUAAUGUUAAAAAAAAAGCUUUUAAGCUAAUCAACAUUGGUUCCUCAAUACCUAAACAUCAUGAUAUGAUUUCUCA